CUUUAUGAUAGAAGCCUGAGUCGGGCCCCAAGGAAGGAAAAGAGCUAGCUGACUCCGCUUACUCAUCCAAGGGUCGAAGGUACUUCAUGCAUCGGCAUCAGCAAGGAUUUCUUUCCAGAAUAUGGGAUUGCUGCUGCUGUGAGUGAUCAGGCACAAUAUAGAAAGAAUGCAGGAUCAGCUCCGGGUCCUCUUAAGAAGGUCGGCCAGCUAACCAAAGCUCUUUCUUUUCCCAUAAGCAGUCUUCACGCACGGCUGACUCAAGCUCAAGCAUCGGGUAUGACUGCACAAAAGUUGUUGCUGUAGCUUCAUCCUCUGCUCCACUUCUAAGAACGAAACUCGGAUAUUCGAAUUGACCUCCCUCUCGCCUACCCGCCAACGAGCUUCAUUCAAGUCUUUAGCAGCCACGGUUGAAGUCUAGAAAUACACAGAAUUCACACCUAAGUAGCGCAAGAGCAAAAUCAAAUGCCCAGACGAAUCCAAGCGGAAGAGAUAAUCACUCUGCAAAUCAAAUAAUGAAAGCGUAGCAUGGGUAUCUGGCGUGUCUUUGGGGGUUAUGAGAAGAACCAACCCCGAAAUACUAACAAUCUGGGAAGCUACCUUACCUAAGAGCAGUUCUCUACAUAAAGAAUUGGGCUCGGACAUAGUAAUCAAAGCAUAGCAUGGAAAUGAACCCGGGGCAUAGGAAUGAGAUAGGGGAAACGUCAUGAACCAGUGGGUACGAAAUCCGACUAUAAAGUAAGAAAAUGCUUGAUACCAUCUAGAGGAAAGGAAUGAACCGACAACAACCAGGAACAGGAGCGAGGGGACACUUUAGCAUCACAUUAGUAGGAUCGAGCCAAGAAAAACCCCAGUGGACCUAUGACUAAACUCCUCUGCUCCCGAGCCUCCCCUUAUUUAUAGCUAACGCUAAAAACUGCAUUGAUGGACCACUCAUGAAUUCUUUCUUUGUCCGGUCGGUGGUGCAGCGCAGAGGCUACGUGCAUUGGUUGGUUAACUGAACCACCGGCAUAGACAUUGGCAUAGACAUUGGUUGGUCGCGCUAGUAGUAAUUUCUACACCGACAUAGAGAAACCGACAUAGGUAAAAACAAAGAAAAACUCACAACUAUUCUAUGAUCCAACAACAGAAAAACUCAUGACUAUUUGAUGAUACAAUUGAUGAUACAAAAAUAGAAAAGAAAGAAUGAGGCUUCAAGGCGGGGAUCCUAAGAGCGAAUCUACCGGGCAAGUACGAUUUGGUACGAUGAGUUAAUAUACUGUAAGUAAGGAUUGAGUCCUGUAGUAAAAGAAUGGGGUAGUGCCCGCACAGAUCAAACUAAUAAAAGUAGGGAUACCAGGAUACCAGGGACCUCAACCCUUGCUUAUUUGACUUCUUUAGAGACUCGUUCAAACUAACUUAGCCUUUAUCUAAGCUAAGCGUGCCUUCCCUUACUCUUUGUCUAUCUUUUUCAGCUACCUCCCUACUGCACUAGAACCUUGCACCAGUGUCUCUUAGCUUCUAUCCUAAGCCUAGAUCCCUUUGUUCCAAAUCUACCGUCUAAGCCUACCGCUGCUACCUCUAAAACGGACAUGCCUGUCUUGACUUCUGACAUUUGUACUACAGCUCCCACCUAGUGAAGGAUGUCCGCCCCUUAGUCCUUUCUUUGUUUAUACCAUUGGAUGUCGUCUGCCCCUUGUUUCUACUAUUUGAUGUCGUCCGCCCUUUCUUUCUACUAUACCCAAGGUUGUUUCUACUAUACCCAAGCAAGACCACGUUGUCCCUUGUUUCGCACGUCGACGGAGUUAAUGACCAUUGAUGCACGAACGGACGAAGACAAGACGGAGUUAAUGACCGAACCGACCGAGGUACUUUAUAUGCCCCGGGACAGACCUUCCUUGCAUGGGUGAAUGAGCGGUUCCACUACAAGAACGAGUGCUUUUACUUGAAUAAUGAGUCCUUUGCCAGUAGGCGCGAUGGUACACUUGCAACACCAGACACAGACUAAUUCGCGUGCUAUUUCAGGCUGGGCUAUGCGACUUGAGGACCUAUUGAUGUUACCUCAAUGACUGGGUGAAUGGUUGCUCACAGAAUAGGGGUGCUGCUCGACAGACUUCUUUAUUUGACUCGGGGACUGAGCUAUGUUACUAAAAGACUGUGCCCGUGGGGACGCCAGGAAGACUUAUGGAAUGGUCGCUAGCAGAUGGAUAGGUGAAUUAAUUAACAGGAGUAUAAUUCUCGUAGUAUAAUAAGAGAAUUCGUUAUUGUAUUUUGAAUGAACAAACAAGCAAAUCAAGUAAAGCACGUAGACCACACCUCGCAUCAAAGAAAGCCGGAGUAAUCUAGUAGGGCCCCUAAGAUUCUUUCCUCUUAUCUGUUUGUUCGUGAAGUCACUUCGUGCGUAUCAAACUCUAGGGAUCUUUCUCUUUCUUGCCAACCGCAUAGCCUCUGUCCUGAAAAUGGUAAAUACAGACUAGAAUGACUGUUAAUCAGAAUUGACUACUACCCGCCAAUAGAGGAAACUAGCAUCUAACUCAGUGAAUCAAACUCCAAAGUCAUAAUCAAAUCAUGGGCGUUAGGACGGAAUUACCCAGCGACGUACCAAACAAAGAAUAUGGAAUAACUGAGCAGCAACCAAGCCUUGCUUUUGCUUACAACUUCUUAGGUCUGAUGCCUUAUUUUCUUUCCUAAGUCUCGUAGUUACAAUACAUAAUGAAACUUAGUAGUACAGAGGCCUAUUUCACCAGUAGCCCAAGCCCUAUGUUGGUAUCCUUUUGACAAGCCCGCCUCUCCUAUACCAAGGGGGUAGCUCACUGCCGCUACACAUUAGUAGUGACUUGCCCUAUCCAAAUAUCUGUUAUUAUUAAGGUAAGGAAAACAGAUCAAACUAGGGAUGGCGCCUAGACUAUUGAUUUGAACUAUUGAUGUAUAACUAUUGAUUGAACUCUUUAGUGAGGGCUACGAUACCUAUGGCAACUACAUCUAUGGCAAUAAAUACUUAUCGGAGGAGUGAAAGAGGUGCGGUGCUCUAAGACUAGGAUGAAAGGCUUUCCCUAGUAGUGAGAUGUCAAUUCUAGUUUCCGUUUGGGUUCGGUGCUUGGCCUAUCUUAUCUCUGUGACUUGCCGAUUCCAUUUCUCUAGGUUCUCUAUUGACUCAUUGCCAGGGAGUUCUUUCGCUUUUGUCACUAAUCCAUAAAGAAUUGAGUGCCCUUGCCACUAACAGUGCUUUCAGCAGGCUGCUCACAGUGCUUUCAGCAGAAGAAAGAGAAGCAGAAUCAUUUGCCUAAGUAGUAGAACUCGAGAAGCCAGUCACUCAUUGAUAACCCAGUCACUUUAAAGGCGGGAGCGGUUCCGCAGAAUUAGCUACACCCCCAUCCUCUGAGAAACUUUACUUGACGCAUCCCUUUCUUUUGAAUCAGACUGGGGCUUGGCUUCCAUCGUCGACAACACCUUAACUUGCUUCUCUUCGCCCAUAAAGAUGUUAGGAAGAAAUGACUUAUAAGCUCUCUUAGUCGGAUUCACUUAGUUGCAGGUGCUAGUGUUGGAACGGUAAUUGGCUCGGCUUUCCCUUUUGUGAAGAUAAGUUCAAGGCUUUCCCUUUGCACCCGUUGCUUGGCUGUUUCUAGUUUAUUGAAUUUGAUUCUAAAUCUGUUCAACCCAAUAGAUUCUUAAGUAAACACCAUUCUUAUUGGCACUACCGGGACUCGAGUGAGAACACCCAUCUUUGCUGGCACUGCUUCUAUAUAGGAUUCCACUAGAACUUCGAUUUCUUCACCGAGAACCUGAACUAACUCUAGCCUCCUUGCCGACCUAUGCUAUGUCUUCAAAUGCAAUUCUUCACUGAGUCCCACUUUUGGUGUUCAUGGCGGCAGUAAAGUCUCUGCGGAUCGCCUUAGCAUUGAGUCUUCUGGUUUAUUGAAUUGAAACCCCUCCCCUACCUAUACAAGUUCCCGAGUUAAGAGUAGGAACAAUAUCAUCAGCCGGGUACGCUGCAAGGGUCUCUGUUUCAUGCUACUAAGCAAGACUAAGCUACGGGAGUUCUUUUCCUAAUUUCAGGGCGUCAGUGAGUUACCUGUUGUGCGUUAGUCCGAGGAAGAAGUAGAAGAAUUCGGCAGGUAAGAUAGAUCUUAGUAACCACUUCUGUGAAAGUUAUGAACAAGUCCGUAUUUAGUCCCAUACCCUGUGCUACCAUUCCUUGGAUUCGACUGUUCUUAGAUACUUUACCUCAGCAUUAGAAAAGAGCUUGUUUCUAUCUACGAUAUUCUGCACUUAGUUGUCGGUUCAUAAAAUAGAGUGAGAGUAUAAAGGUGAAGGAUCAGAAACGGAAUAGGGAUCUUCAGCUGGUAAAGAAGAGUAACAAGCAUAAUUAGGAUAAGAUUCAAAAGAGAUAAGGGAUGCUAUGUCUUUUCUUGCUUCUCAAAUAAUAUUUCUAGUGGAAUUCUAAGAUAGCUAAUUUCUAGUGGAAUUCUAAGAUAGCUAAUUUCUAGUAGAAUUAAUAGUACCCGUAAAAUCAUAUUUGAUAGUAGAAUUCUGACUUGAGAGUUUAGAGGCGCUAACGGAUCCAGUUUUGAAGCAAGUAACCGACUCGGGAAGGUAGCUCCCUCAGACAUGCUUUAUGAACUUACUAAAGAGAACAAAAGGGGACUCAUGAACUCCUUAGUAUAAACAAUGACUUUAAUCCCCCCGGCCCGGUUGGAGACUUUUCGACACCUUUACGAAAUUCUAUAUCUGGUGCUAAAGAGAUUCAAUGGAAUUAGAAAACUUUCACUCACCUUGAUGAAUCUACUUCACUGUAAACACCCUUUCCUAACUUGAUAACUGGAACAAUCAAAACUACUGAUCUAAAGAGUUCAAUACCGGUAAGCAAACUCUAUUCUCUACUUCCCGACCUCUGGAAUCACUACACUCCCUACGAGGAAAAACCGAUGAAGAACAGGCGCUCUUUCCACUAUACAGACACAAAGGAAAAAAGAUUGGAUAACUGAUCUGAUUCAACUCGGGGGGAAGCUGUUCUAAAGUCUGUUACUUGCUGUGCGAGGAAGGAGUGACUUUGCGGUGUGAAAGCUGGGUCAAAGGAAGCAGUUAGAGCUAAGUCGUAAAGAGAAGAAAGAGAAUUGUGAUAGUUUCAAGAAGUAGGUGGAGUGGUCCAGAGGCCUUAUAGUAAGUUGCCCUAACUGUAUUUGUAGCCUAGGAGCCAUAACUGUAGUAGUUAACAGAGGUGGAUGAGCAAGAGGUAUACACUUAGUAUUCCAAGUAGGAAAGUGAGAAUGAAACAAGCUGAGGGCAACUAUGAACUUCAUUGAAUCUUUCUCUAGAUCCUAUAACUCUACUCAGCGUGUGCCCUAUUCAACCCUUUAAUCAUGCCAUUUGAAGCGGGUUUGAUCUCUUCCUAAGGGAUUUGUAAAAGUAGUGGAAUGAUUUGUUGAAUGUGAAGGAAAGCUGUCUGCAGUGAGAGUUUUCUCCUUAUCCUAGUAUUAGAGCGGGUCUUCAAGGGUAGUUGGCGAGAGGGAGGUGAGAGUGUCGGUUCAGAACUAACAGCAAGCAUCAAGUCUUGUUCUUGAAACUUGGCUUUCGACCUUUUCCUUUCUUUUCUGGCCCUUGUUUGGGGACUAUCCCUAUUUAGAAUAGAGUUCGGGUCGAUAACACACCUCUCGUUGGUUAACUAAACAGAUUGUUUGGUAAAGUAAAGUAGAAAGUUAGGGUCGAGUUCAGGGCAUCAUAUCUUACUUGCUUUGCAGCGGGAAGCUAUUCUUCACAGGAGAUGCAGCGGGAAGUCGCGGGGUAGCCAGGCCCAGUCAGCUUUAAUAUAAGGUCAAGUCCAGCAUUUGAUUCCCGAGUUGCCCCUGUGCCCCGAGUUGCAUCUUUCAUCUUUAUUAUAUGAGUGCAAUUUCUCGUUUCAUCCCGAGUUGACCACUGUAGCUAUUCCAUCUCAAUGACAAUUGAACUACACUUGGAACUUAACCUCGUCUCUUUGAACUCACCCCUCAUAAGCCAAAGCAAGGAGUGAUUAAUAUUCUUCCCUUCCCGAACUUGGCUUGAGUACUGCUCCUGUUCUUGUUUAAUGCCGAGUUGCAUCAGUAUUUGUUCUUGUGUCGGGUAGGGUGAACACUUAUAAGAGUUAGGGUAGGGUUCCGGGCAGAAUCAUAAUAUCUUAUAGGCGAUGAAGCGGUCAGUUAAGAGUUUUGUUCUUUUACUAGAUUAAUUAGUAUAGGAGUUGUGUUCGGGAGCCUCUUUUCCUUGGUUACUUCUUUCUAUUAUAUUGGAAGAAAAGGAAGAAACAUGACGAAUAUGUACACAAGCCUAACUAGUAUGUAACAGAGCCAAUCCACGCUAAGCUGCGGGACAAACGGAAGUUCAGUUACCAACAAUAGAGGAAGCCGGGUAUGGUCUCGCUUAUCUUAGUUGGGCAGCAGUUCAAUUGUUCCUGAGUGAACCUGUCUUUAUAGCGGUAGUGAGCGGAAGGGGUUGGCUAAAGUCAAAUCAGUAGAUUAUAGGUCGAGUGCCAGUACCUCAUUUCAAAGGAAGGAGUGCUAGGUUCGCGAGAGGGAUAUGGAACUAGUGGUAGCUGGGUAACGAAACUAGUAAUUGCUGGGCCCUUAUUCUUUUAGUAUUCUACUUACUGACUUACUUGCCUUCUACUGGAUGCGCUAGAUGAAUACCCUUUCUGGAUUUCUUUCUUCUGGAUCUGGAUCCGAAUCAAUUCUUUUUGGCGGACUCGGUUGUAAACAAACUUGCUUAUUGACCCACAGAGCGGGGUGCUAACUAAUGUGAAUGAAGAAAUAAAGUCAUGGUUGACUUCCCUGACAAGCGCCAAUAACCGAACCACGUCUACAAAAUGCCAGUACCCAGCUGCUACUCGUACUAUCUUUUUUCUCUUCACUUGACUUCCCCGAACUAGACUUUCCUCGCGCCUCAAGAACAAGACUUUCCUCUGCCCCGAACCCUACUUUAUGUGAAGAAUGGAAUGUUGUCCACCAAUUAUAGAAUCUAGUAACUUCAAACUCCGACUCCUGCUCCAACUCAAUAUCUUGCUGGUUUUUGAGAUCUUCUUGCUGGUUCUUUAGAUCCUGCUCCUUCUUAUGAUCCUGCUCUUGCAAACACAUUAAUAAGUCUUUGGCCUGCACAGUGUUUAGUCACUAGCCCUACCCUAGCCCCAAUUGAAUAUUGAACAUAUGAUAGAGCUGCAUAUGAUAGAACUCUGAACUUGAGAGGCUUUCAGCACCUUGCUUUAAGAAGAGAAUGGAGGCAUCUAAUUAGGACUUACUCAUAACUCGUAGGAGACGAAGAAAGGACUUGUACCACAGGACUACUCGACUACUUACUUUAUAACUACGGAUUCUCUGGUCGACCACACCUCGCUUCACUUCAUAAGUACUGAAUUCUGCACUUCCCUUAGCAUUUGUUAGUGGUCUGGUCCAAGAGAUUAGCUGUUUCAUCAAUUCUCUUUCUUAUGAUUCAACUCGGGGUGCCGACCUAUCUUUAAUUCAAUACCAGAUGCGGCAGAUUGGGAAUACACUAACUAACAGGAAAAGGCUUGUUCAAUUAGAAGUGUUCUACUAGAUGCGGUACCAAUUAUGUAUUAGGGCCAGCUCAAUAGAUCUUACCUCUGAUAGGGGAAUGCCAUGAGCUUAGGGAGUAGUAGAACCCAUGUUUGUUGCUGUUAAGGUAAGGCUCGGGUGCUUGUGUUAAGCAAGUAGUCAAUCUAUCACCUCAGUCCGCAUGUCCACUCCUAAAUUCCGUAUUUCUCUAUAUAUAGGAAACCCGAAGAAACAGAAUUAGGAUAUAGGUUAGGUUAGAGAUAUAAGCAGGAGCUAGAUCAGAUACUUAAUGAGAAGAUAGGUAUGGUAUGAGAUAGAAGCAGGAGUGGAAUAAAGAGCAUGGAACAGGCAACGCAGGAAAAGGCGACUGUAUUGACUGGCAAGAAAAGAAGAGAUGGAAAUAAGAAAGAGGCGAUGAACACAGGACAGGGUCGGUUAGUAACAUAGUAGAUCAUGCAUGCCUAGCUCCAGCCUAUUGAAAGGGUAACUAAAGUACUGGUUUCUUUCUCGCCCAGCUUCUUUUGCCUUUGUAGUAUACGCUUGGCCUGUCACUCCGGACUCCUUUACGAGUAGUAGCUUGGCUCUUUCAUUCCUACUUUACAGAGAGCAAGAGGGAGAGUUAGUUCGGGUCAGAAAGGGAAGCAGUGUUCUUAAUAAGAAGAAAGGGAACCAGUUCAGUAACACCUGAUUGAGAGUGGCUUGGCUCCUAGUUUAGAUUGAGAGUUUCAUCCCCUUAUAGUAGUAUAGUAGUCCAGGAGUGGAAAUAGAAAGAAAAUCCGUAUUUGUUGACAGAGGGGUAUAUUAGCCAGCUCAUUAGCCAGAGGGGCAUAUUAGCCAGAGUUAGGUUAGUUGAAAGAGCAAGAGAUUCAAUAAGGUAUUAGUUGAUAAAGAAGAGCAAGUAGAAAGGGAUGCUUCAAGUCCUGUUUCUCAGUGAAUAGUUGACAGAGCCUAGCCUGUAGUUGGUGAGUUUCAUCCUAACUAAAGAGUGGAAUCCCCAGUUCCUGCUCUUGUUUAAUACCUUGUUUAGUUUGAGUAUUUGUCUGUUCUAUAGGUAUUGUAUUACUUUACUGGGUUGACAAGAUUGAGUGGAGGUGGACUACUGUUGCUUGUUCAAUAAGCCUUAGUUCUAGUGAUUUUGCCUUACUCUGGCUCUUUUCACUCAAACAAAACUUUCAACGGGCUCCUGCCGCACAAUUGGAAACCCUAUUUCGGUAUGAUUUUGGAUACUCAGUGAGUGAACCCUAAAUCAGACUACUAGUACAUACCACUGCAUAAGUCUCUUUUUGUAGGUUACUUACCACCGCAUAAGUCUCUUUUUGUAGUUCGAGGUUUAGUAAAAGCAAGAAUUCCACAUAACGUAGUUCAAUUGUCUAAGUUCGUUUCUAGGGUUGGCUAAAUGUAGUUGCCUGUCUGCUUGGUUCUUUGUUUCAAUGGUUUAGACCCGGGAAGUAGUUCGCUAACGGGAACAGAGUUGAUAGGUGCAUUCCCAUUUAUUUGAUAGAACAUCCAGUUAAGAAAUUGAUGUUAGAGUUGCGCCAGGGCAAAUAGUAGUAGCUCUAAGUCUAGGAAAGUAGUACUUUUGUUAAGCAAUGAAGGUGUAGAUAGAAGUUCAGACUCCAAUGUUAGGGUCCACUGGGUUGGUCAAGAGCGCUAGGUUCGUUGCCCGCUUCCAUCUUACAUGGCCUAAUUCCUAUGUUUCUUCAGUUGAAACUGCUGUUCGAGUCUUACUCUAUUAUAAAUCAAAUAGAAGUUUGACUUUAAGCCGAGAAGAAGGGAAAGUAAGGUUAGCUAGCUGAACUUCAAGUUGAGGUCGGCUAGGGAAGCUGUUAAGUAAAGAAAAGGAAGCAGUCAAGUCUGAAGUAGAGGCCAGCAGGAAGGUCAGAGUGAGAAGCACCAGCGAGAGUAUUAUUGGCAUUGGUCAUAUGCUAGUCAAACCUUAGAAGCGGUGUGAGCGUUAGGGGUUCUUUUGAUCGGUGGUUUUAUUCCAAGUUGAUAGUUGAAAUACGAAUUUCCUUAUAUCAAUUCCGAGUUGCCUACUUGAUUGAGAGCACUAGAACUAGGUCGGUUGGUAAGAAAGAGCUCAUCAGCUGUUAUCAAGUAAUCUGUCUUAGCGCGCCAAUAACUAUCCUUGAUGAUCGAUUGCUGCUUCCUUGCGCACAGCUUAGCUUCAUCUGUAUUUGUUGUAUGAGUAGCUGGGCUUGGCCCGGAGCAUAAGUUGAGGUCGAGUGCGCGUUGAAUUGCCCGGUAGUCUAGGUCAAGUUAAAGUUUCAUCCCAAACUAGUAGUUUCGUAGUUUAAUAAGUAGUAGUAGCAAGAGGAGAGAUAUUCUAGUUUACAGAGGAGAGGAAGCUGUUUCCAGAGCUAGAGCUGGUAAGGAAGCUGUUUCAAGAGCGGAUAAGGAAGCCGGAGAGGAGGAGUUUCAUUCAAUACUGCAGGCACCUGAGUUAGGUUAGUAUUGAUUCUAUUUCUAUUCUGACUUCCUGAGUGGAAGACCAGUUAGUAGAUCCCCUAUUCUUAUGAGUAGUGGUAGAGAGGCCUCUCUAAGAAGUUUCGGGAAGGGAGUUAAUCACUAGGGAGUGAAAGAGUUAAGAAAGAGGAAUUAGUUUACAGAGCCUAGCCAGUAGUUUAUCUGUGGAAUACCGAGUGGAAGCCUAAGUGAAGUACCAUACUAUUUCUUCAUUUGCUAUGAAAAAACACGGGUUUCUUAAAAAAGAGCAUUUCAAUGGAACCCCUCAGGAGGCAAAACUCCUUUGCGUCUAUUUUUCCCGGGAAAACGCAAAAAAGGAAUGACUUUGGACCUCGUUAGUAGGUAAAAUGACCUUGCUACGAAAAAACACGGGGUUUCAUAAAAAGAUCAUGAAAUUAGACCUCGCUAUUAGCUAAAAUGGCUUCACUGCCAAAAAAGCCGGGAAAACGCAAGAGGAUCUGGUCUUGCUCAUAUACGGCUACAAUUCCAUACUCCCCGCUUCUGCUCUACUUCCUACUCCUGGCCUGGGAAAAAGGCUGUUUUUGUCGUCGUUGCUUGCCGGGUAUCAAGUAUAAACCUUCAAGUGGUAGUCCUGCUUAAUCAGUAUUUGUUAGUUGACAGAACUAGAUGGAGAGUGCUUUCCGAGUCAGUGAUCUCUAGGAGGUCGGGUGUUUGACUUCAAGUGGAAUCCCUUCCCUAUUGGGGAGACAAUAAGGCUUCACCGAGUAUACGAGUAGAGCCAGAGAGAUAGUAUGAGUUUACAGAGGAGGGGCGAGGAAUAGAAGUAUUGAUUGGCAAGAAGUAGAGGAGCCAUAGGUAAUAUAUAGGAGAGGAGCCUAGCCUAAUGAAGUUAAUAGUAACCCGAGAAUAAGUAGUGACAACAGAAGUCCGCCUGUUUUCAUUCAGAGAUCGGGGCAGAGUUGGAGGGUAAGUUGACGUUUAAGAAUGAUUUGUAGGCCAGUUGACAGAGGGGAGAGAGGCAAGCUAGUCCAGUAGUAGAGUAGUUGGCUUUGAAGCAAGCUUUAGUGUAGUGGUAAAGUUCAAUCCGUAUUUGUUAGUUUACAGAGGUAGAUGAGACUGUAGGUCUGUUAUGAUUAUUAGUAGGAAUACCGGGUAGUCCUGUGAGAGUGUAAUCCCCUGUUGCAUUCUUUGCCAGUAGUUAAGAGUCGCUAGUGGAAUACCCAACCAGUAUAGUAGUAGUUUCAUCCCCUGAAUUAGUUGUUGCAUCCCAGGGGUUAGGAGUGGAAUCCCUUUAUGCUCCUGUUCGAGGUCAAGUUUCAUCAGUAGCUGAGGCUUCCAAUCUAGUAAUUGAACUCAGUAGUGAAAGAAUGAAACAAGUACCAAUCAGACCCCAACUGCAGCUUCCAAGCCUUCAACUGGAUCCGAUCAGACUUAAAGCAAGGGUAGUUACAGACUAAGACAACAGCUGCUCGGCCUACUACUGGUGCUGCUCAGGCCUAUGUUGGGUAGUUACAGAAUCAACCCUAUUCUUCCCUUGCCCACCGAUUGACCGAUGCUAUAGUACCUAAGUAGUAAGAUCAGAAUGAAACUAUUGGGUGUAAGCCUUAAGGGUUAAAUGAGAUGAGAGCCAUAGUUGAUGAGAUGAGCCAGAGUUAAAUGAAACAAAAACAGCCUUUUUCCCGGGUUUCUUAAAAAAGAUCAGUGAAAAUAGGUGAUCUAGUAGUUCCUUGUCUGUUUGACUCGGUCCUCUUAGCAAGAGAUAGAAUGAUGGUUUGACUUCUCGGCCCAGACUUCAAGCACUAACUCCAAAGCUGAUGCGGUGUCUAGGCAGAAUGCAACCGGUAUGUACGAGAAUAGAGCUCCUUUUCGAGUGAGAGUUGAUAGUAGAAUGAUUUGGUAAGCGAGCCCAGCCCAGUUGCAUCAGUAUUAGGGGCAGUAGCAUCUGUCUUUGUAGCAAUAGGAGUUAAUGACUAGGGAGUGUUACCAGAUUGGAUUCUAUAUUACCUGGCUCAGGCUUAUGUUUCUCACCUUGGAAAACAAGAAAUGAGAAAGAACAAAUAAAGUAGAAAAGUCGACAAGGCUGCCGCGCAACUUACGUAGUUGCUUGGCCCCAAUCACUACACAAACAGUAGGGGAAAAUCUAUAUCCAAAUAUCUUAUAUUAUUAAAGAAACUAGAUUGAACUAGAGAAAGAAACCGGACUAUACUAGGGACGAAACUGGGCCAAGAGAACCCUAUUGAUUUUAGUGAUAAAUUACCUUUUUGCCCCUACGUCGGUUUGCAAUGUAAUAUUUCCUAUAAAACGAAAUAAGAUGCGUUCUAGCUCCUUUUAUGCCCCUUUCUUGCCUGUCCUAGCUAUAGCAACAGUCUCAAAUCCUCUGUGCUAAGGGCUGUGCUAAGUGAGUAGUUAAGGGAGUGAAGAGUUCCGGAAUUGAGUUCUUGUGAGCAACUAUUAAGUCGGAGUGAGUGAAAAAGUAAACCCGGGGAUCAACAGUAGGAGUGAGUUCAAAGAGAAUUGGAAUUACUAUAAGGUCCAGGUCGAGUUCUUGUUUAAUACCGAGUGGAACUCCAGGCUGGGAGUACGGAAUGGAAGAAUGGAACUGGUUGGUGAGCAGGAGAAUCUUUAGUUUCAAGAGAAGGAAGAGGUGGGUUGAGAGGUACGUAAAGAAGCAAGUUCAGGAGCAGAUUCCGGAGGAGAGGGUACCCGAGUAGCAGAGUAGUUGCAUCUGUCUUAGUUGACAGAGGCGAUUCACUCUUUAUUUGUUGCCAGAGGUAUAGAUGCGGAAUUGCUGUAAAUAGGGGUAAGUGAGUGAAGUAAACAAUAGCUGAGUAGCGGAAAGUAGGUGCUCGCCUGUAAAAGGAAGAAGAAAGUACUGGCUUUGAGGCUCGGUAAAGUACUGGCUUUUCAGCGGGAAGGAGCCUGAGCUAAACGGUAGCGAGUUAAAGACUGACGAGUGCAAUUCUGUAAUUCCACCCCUAGGUGCUUGGCCUUUCCCUCUUUAGUAUCAUUCUUUCCCUCCUGAGUUCAAUUUCAGUUAAAGGAGAGUUCGAUUACUUAUUGGGCAGUACAUCUUUCUCUUUCUCGUCUCCAGGACCUCUGUGAAACUCUUCUUAUAGCUCAUCCUUCUUUUAUUCAUUUAAGACCGACCGGGAAAAGUCAUAAGUUUGCUCAGCUUUGCUUGUGCCAUGUGAUCUAACGUUUCUGCUUGCGUCUUAGCUUGUUUCUUACUACGUAGCUUGUUCCGUUCCUAGUUUACCCGGCGCUCGACAAACAUAUUCCUUCAGUAUAGUCUCCUUAUGGUUUAGGUUAAGUAUAAAGUUUAGUAUCAAUAAAAGUGAUAUUGUAUAUAUAAUGGAUAUAAUGAUAUAUAAUGGAUAUAAUGGGGUAAUCUCAAUAAGAUGAUUUUCUUAAGAAAGAUUCCAUUCUUGAAUUCCAGGAGAGUUGGGAAGUAACGCAAAAGGCAAGCAUUGAGUUUCUAAAAAGGUGAGCUCCGUUAUCGCCCCAAGAGAGUAAGCAGUCUGGCGUAACUAGAAUAUGUGCAAUGAAAGCUGUCAGUGUUGUUAUCGACCUUAUAUAAAUUGUAAGUUAGAUUCCAUUCAACAAACUAGGGAGCAAGCCCCGAGAGCAAUCCUAAGUUAGUUCCUCCUUGCUUGUCGAGUUCUUAGCAUCUGAUCUUGAUCCUUUUCUGUCUUUGCUUACCACAAUGCAAGAACCAUAUAUCUAUGACUUAGAGCUAGAGCACCAACACUGGAACCAGCGAGCUAGAGCGGGACAAUGACUGUAUACCGCACAUCUGACUCUCGCCAUUAACAUAAGGGCUGCUGACUCACAACUUUCUUCCUUGACUCCAAAGCUCACAGCUGACUCACAUGAUACAGCAACUGAUCCUACUCCUGAUAAAGGAGACUCAGACAAAACUUUAGUGGACCUCGCUAAGGCUUAUUCAGAUUCUAUUGGGCUUGGCAAUACUUAAUGCUUCCUUCCUUCCGAGAACUAGACUGUAUUUAUUAUUCCUCUUCCCAUUCUCCAGAUAUUUCUUAUUUUGAUCUCGUGGACAAUAAGGGUAAAGCGCCAAUAACGGAUUGAUUUUAUGCUUCAACUUACUAGAAGGGCCUUGCCUCUCCUCUUGGGGCUGUAAACCUGGACUACUACUUUCCUUGUCAACUUAAGAUCAAACUCGGGAUAUUCCACUCGGGAUUGCAUUUCUUCACUUCAAGGACAAGAAAUAGGGAAAUCAAGAAAUCAAUCCAGUGCGGGUGUCAAUUCCAUCCUUAUUUUGCAGGUGUCCAUUCAAUCCUUAUUUCUCAAUAAGAGGGGUGGUGUGAUGUUUCUCAAUAAGAGGGGUGUUGUGAUGUAAUAGAUAUAGGUUGGGUGCCCAGUCUAGUAUGGUGACUUGUUAGGCUAGGCUUAGGCUAGUUAACUGACUUUUACUGGGCGAGGGUAGUAGACUUACUUGACACUAUAGGUUUUGGUGAAGUGGAAUUAGUUGCAUCCCGAGUGGCAUCUGUGUUUGUAUACGUGACUUGGCCCGGGUACAAUGUAGUGCAUCUACUAUACUAACAUCUACUAUACUAACAUAGAAUAUACAAUCUAUAAGAAUAUACAAAAUAGAAUCAUAAUAUGGGUACGAUCUAGCACAACUACUAAUGAGAAAAAACCUACCCACUCCAUUAGACCUAAGUACAUUUCACUAGGUGCGCACAAAGCUAACAAGAAAGAAACUAGUCACAAUAAUAAUGGAAAUAGGAAGAAUAAAGAAAUAGUAUAUGGGCUAGGGCUUUCACAGCUAAUAGUGAUCCUAAUAGGAGUCGUUUCUCAGAGUCAUUAGAGCAAAAAGCAGUCCAAACCACUGCUAUUGUUUGUAUCUUUUAUCUAUGUGCGGGUGCGAUGGGCCGUUAAUGGGUGAUGCGAGGACUGUGUGGUGUCUAUGUAAGGUCGAUCCGGUGUCCAUGUAAGGGUGUUUGUUUGGGCAAUAGAGAUAGGUUUGGAUUGACUCUCGGCGGGGUGGGGCAAGCUUCCAACUAUUUGAGAGUUAUGACCAGACAAGCGACUACUACUGUUGCGCGCCCUUAUUGUAAGUUGAAGCAAGGGAAAAGAUAGUCAUUAAUAAGAUCAGGUCUAAAGAAAAGAAAAGAAAUGAGAAAAUGAGAAAAGAAGGAAAAACAACCGGAGGCAAGAGAAGAGUAGAGUAGUCCAGAUCCGAUACCUCUUCUAUCGACCCUACUUUUGAUCUUCUAUUGACCCUACUUUUGAGUGGAAUUCUGUAUUAGUUGACAGAGAAGAAUGAAGCGGGAUAGAUCUAAUCUAGCGCAUUAUCCUAUUGAUUUCUCUUGCACCCUGCGCUUAUCUUAGUUGGGCAGCAUCGGCGGUAUAGUUGACUUUCUUCUACACUCUGUCCAUUCCUUAGUUCAUCCUGUAUUAAGGGCGGCAGCCCCUCGUAUCUGUCUCAUCUGUCCAAGCCGGUAGGUGCCAGGAAAGCAGUCCGAAUACUUUCCACUCGAAGAAUAAUCCUUAUAACAGGAAAUUCUCCACUUCCCACUGCAGAUCAAGAAAACUCCCCGUCAAUUACUUCCCGCGCAUACUAUACUGAAACAUAAGUCACUCACUACGUAUAUACUCCGUUAGCUAAACAUAAGUCACUCACUACGUAGCAGAGCGGUUAGGGCUUUAUACGCAGCACCCAACCCAUAUCUAUUAUAUUAUACUAUAAUGAUACCCGAUACCCACUCGGGCGACUAUUUCACCCCACCUCAGGCAACAAUACCUGUGGUCAUCUAUCAAUUCCAAUUCUUAUCUUCUUAUAGGAUAGGACUUCACUACAUCAGAGGUUAGAUUAGAUGCCCGGGGGCUUCCCUUAUCUUGAUUCUCUUGCGCCUGUACUGUUACUGAUGUAUCUGCUCUAACAGCUGACCGACCCUAUUGCUUCUAUAUGUCUCUUUCGAUUACCUAUUUCUAUUCUAACUGUUUCCCAAGCCGGCCUAUCCUCUGUAAACUCAUGCUUAUUGAAACAAGCAAAGCUGCUGGCUCUGUCAACUACUACAGUUCAAAGAGCUAACAACUCGUAUACUAGUUUGGGAAUCCACUAACUACUACUGAUUCCACAGCUGACCUUGCAGACCUAGACUCUAACUUACCUCGAACAGGGGCAAGCGUAUACUAUACUACAGACCAAGCAACGAGGCAAGUCACACCACACCGGUCCGGCUACCAUUAGCUAUCAGCCAAGUCCUAAAACCUUUGAGUGAACCGAACCCCAUAAUAGGCGCACCCGAGCUCUACUUUGAGAAUAGAAAUAGAACAGUCAACUCCCUUAGCGCAACAGUAACUCGUUAGCGAGCUGGACCUUCUUCUUCCUGGAACAACUUACCAUAAGGGCCUCGUAUAAGUGUUAACACCGAACCGAACUCUCUAAUAAGUUUCGGCAAGGUAGACAAUAAGUGACUUUCUGGAACUAGACCUGGACUCUUAUCUAACUCAAUGAAUUUCUUUGAUACCUGCAUUCGGCUUAGCUAACUCAGGCUACAAUAACUAUCUUCUGGCUAUGGCUACAAAGUGUUCCAAUUCCAUUCUUUAGUGCACUACCGGUAAGUAAACUAACUACUGUAGAAAAGAAAGAAACUACUCGAUCGAUUCUGCACCCGACCUAAACUCGUAUACAAGGGGAAAGCUCGACCCUAACUCUCCUCUGGCUCAUCCACCUCUUACCUAUGGCUUGGCUCACCACUUUCUUUCUUUCCGAUUCCUCUGUCAACUAAUUCUGAUUUCAAGAGCUAUACCUCUGUCAACUAACAAACACAGAUGAAACCGGGGAUUCUUACCUUCACCCGGGCAAGCUAGUACUAACGACUAAGGCCUACCGGUCUGAAACUCGUCAAUAAAACCCGUGUUUUUGGAUAGCGACUCUGGUUUCCCUCCUGAACCGAUCCAAUCCAAUUCACAUUUGACGUUUUCCCGGUAAAAAAGGUAGCGAAGUCUAGAACUCCUGCCGCGUAACAUUAGCAGUUACUUGGCCCUUCCUGAGGUACCUUAUUGAUCCUCAACUUUUCCGUUUUCCCGGGAAACAGCGCUGGCGCGUAACAUUAGUAGUUACUUGCCGGAUAGCAAAUAUGGAAAUUGGAUAGGACUUGAGUUGGGAUGGAAGUCAACUUUCCUCGCACUGGUUCCCUUGCCCACCUCUGUUGGAUUAUACCUUGCAUACCUAGAGUCCCACUCUCAGUACUUAUGGCGGAAAAGCCCUUCUUGAAAACUUCCACUCGUGUUAGCACUUAAAAGCCAGAGUACAACACUAGAACAGCGGAUUCUGAUCUUGAAACGGAAACUACACUUUCUGCUCUAACUGCUGACUUAGCGGGGGAAGGAGUGUACUCACUCCAAUGCUUGAAAGGUAGAGUUUGGUAGCGAGUGAAGUCCUAGAGCUAGGAGUGGGCAGUAGUUAAUAUCCUAUAUAGGAAGAGUCUAAAGCAGAUGCAGUUUACAGAGAAUUGGCCUAUAAAUCAGCUAAGGACAGGUAAGUAAAGGGCCUAUAAGCUAGUUCUGUUCGAUCCUGUUUAAAUCCCACUUACUUUAUGAGUCAUGCAUUUCUCAGCGAUCAAGACAUAUAGGUAGCACAUCAUCUAAUAAGGAAAGGAAUUCUUAUUGGCCCAGUUCACCCCAGUAUUUGUUAGGGGAGCCCGUUAAAGCAAGAUAGGCCGGCCGAUCUCAGGAAUGGAAAUUGUAAACUCAAGAAGAUAAGCAAAUAGACCCGGAGGAAUGAAAUGGAAACCCAGUAAGGAGUCAGCAAUACAAGAAGACUCGUUGUUUACAUAGUGACAUAUUGAUAUGCCUCAGAUUCCAUUCGUGAACCAACUAGCACAGAAUUGAGAAAAUACUGCGAAAAUCCUUCCGAAGCUGAGGUAGGAGAGGAUACCAGUAAGUAUUUCUUCUUGUAUUUAGCUUUCUUACGCUGGCUUUAGUAAUGUGCUCUUCGGGUCUUUCUUCUUGUAUUUAUUAUGCCAAUUCUUCUUUGCCGAUCCGAUUGAGCGUUAGCCAUUUGGUUUGCCCACUCUGCGAUCCACUUUUACACCGUAUAGUUUGAUUAGUAUAUUCUGCGUUCUGUGUUCGAGAGUCUUAUUUAGAACUACUUAAGGCUAAUUAAGACUAUCAAAAGAUAUGGAAUAUUGGAACUCCUCUUCUCUUGGCAUUCCCUCCAUUGUACUUUACUAGCUUAGGAAGUCUGGAUUCAAGCGGUUAUUAGAAGAUCCCCUUCCAUCAGGCUUUCCUUAUUAACCCCUUCCAUCAGGCUUGCUUUCCUUAUUAAUAAGAUAAAGAGGUUCGGUUCCAGAAUAGACGUAAACUACAUUGCUGACUAUCAUAUCUUUGGAUCUUGAGCCAGCUUUCACAUCAGGCAGCUUUUGAAUAAAAGAGAUAGAAAGCACAUCCCCUAUAAUUGAAUAAAAGAGAUAGAAAGCCGCUAAUUGUGGGGACAAAACACUAGCCAAGCAACUACUAAUGUAUAGCGGUAGCGAGUGAAACUCCCUUGACGACCUCUGUUUAAGAAUACCAGUUAGCCGGCAACCCUUAUUAGAAUCCGUCCAAGAAUGAAAACACUAACUAGAUGUGACCUCUCCUCUUGCAACAAACACAGAUGAAACUACAAUACUACUAGUUAGGGCUGUAAACCUAGCUAAAUCCUCUUCUCCUACUUGUAAACUUAAGACUCACUGGUUUCGGGAGCUAAACUGUGACUAGAUACUUAGUUUAGUCUAACUCAGGCUCAUCUCUGAUAACUUCAUUCUUAUCCUACAAGAGAACUCGGGUUGGUGCUCUAGAACACGGGACAGGACUCCUAAAGGUAAGAAACUACAAAGGCAACCGAGCCAAGCCAACAAGCAGACAGAACAGAUUUGCUAUCAGGCCAAUAUCAUCAAUUACAGAGUCGCUAGUUGCAUUCUGUUACUACCCAGUUUCAUUCUGAUCUACUACCCUUGGGUGCGGGUUUCUGAUAAUACUAUGAUAUUCUUAUACUGACUACUAUCAUUCAACUUUACUACUACCACUGCUAUAUGAAUUCUUUGACUACUACUAGUUCUAUUACUAUAUGCGGGCAAAGCAACUACUUGUUUAUAACCGUACAAGCAGACAAGUAACUACAUAAAUGCAUUCUAAGGGCCAACACCAGACCAGACUUUACUUGAGAUCUUACGUUUGAUACCGGAAUGAGGCUUAUCUAACUCAAUUGAUUUUAUGCCUUCUCUGUAGUAGUGGAAUGAUUUGACUCGCGAGUUGUUGUUAGAUAGAGUUGAUUUCAACAGGCUCCUGCCGCGCAACAUUAGGAGUUGCUUGGCCCUUCCCUUUGUUUGAAAAGAGCUAGAUUCUCUUCCUUCCUCGGGACAAUCAGUAAAGUGACCAACUUCUCUUGCUUCUGCUUUAGCCUCCUUUCCCUUUCCACCCUAACCUGGACUCCCGGUCUGAAGACUCUAACCAUUAACAUAAGGGCUGGACUACAACCCCACCCAGCUGUCAACUAAUACUACAAAUACUGAUUCAACAAAGAAUUCCACACUGGGGGCCAGUACUAUCUUUCUCUUCUGCCUCACCUCUUGCUUAUCUACCGUAGUAAACAAAUUCCAUGAAAUUCUGAAAUUCCACUAUACUUACUGGCUUGAAAAGAGGGGAAGGAAUACAACAACUAUACUUACUGGCUUGAAAGGGCAGGAAUGCAAGUCUAUUUACUUGAAAAGGCAGGCAGGAAUUCCACUAUACUUAUUGGCUUUAAAAGACAGGCAGCUGUAAAGAUGGAUACUGGCUUAGACAGACUGGCGGAGACAGAGACAAGCUAGAGGAAAGGGCAAUCCUAUUAUUCACCAACCGACAUGCCCACUUACAGACUAAAGGACUUGAGGGAAGACAAGGCUUUACGACUGGUUUACUUAAUCAAGCCAUAUCCUACUUCCAUGACAGACAGACUAGAUAGACAAAUAUUGCCACAGGGAACAGGGGGAUAAGGAAGAGCUGACUUCUUUCUUCACUAACCCUGGCUUUCCUUUGUCCCUUGCUUUAACUAAUUCCUAGUUAUGGGGUAUGGUAAGUCUGCCUAUUCGUAGACAACACCUUUAUGAGGUAUGGUAAGUCUGCCUAUUCGUAGCGCAAGGGAACAAGUACCGUCCCUAAGUGCGUUAGCGAGCUUAGUACGAAGUGUGACCCUCUUUCUUCUAUUAUACCUAGCACGGGGAACAAGAAUGAUUCUUUAUCCGAUGCCCCAGAACUUGACUUUACGCGCCAACACAAGAAUCCAACCCGAAAGGCACCUGCUCAAGCUUAUUCUCCCGCUUUACCAGCUUCCGCUCCAUCUUAUGUUUCAACUUCACCUUCACCUUACCUUUCCUAUACUGACGACGAUAGCGCUAUCACAUUACCUGCGCAGUAAUAGUAAGGAGCAUGAUAUUAUUCAAUUCCAUUAUGUAUUUCCAUCACUAGUUAUAGAAUUCAGUAAAGACUCAGCUCCUUCUCUGGAAACUGCUUCCUCACCUUUUACAACUACUAUAACAGUACUGGCACCCGACACAAGAACUGAAAGAGACUUGACUUUAGUACACCUCGCAUCAAAGGCUUUACUCUCUUCAAAGCAAAGACAUGACAGUAGUUCAAAAGCUUUUUUCAUUGGGCUUAUACUAUAGGUAUAGAUAGGAGAUAUAGGAUCCGAAUGGAGUGAGAUUAGAGUCUAGUUCCGGUUCUAAAGUAAGGUUAUGACCGAAAUCGGUUCUUUAAUUCUACCUUCUUAGGUUGUCUCUGACUUUCCCACUCCUGAGUGCAAUUCUUAGGGAUAUACCUGCGAGCCCUAUCUUUAGUGCUUUCAAUCUUGGCCGAGAAAUCAAACCAGAAUUCUCUCUCUUGCUAGGAGGACCGAGUAAAACAGACAAGGAAUCCUUCUUUCGAGCCCAGAGCGGAGGUAGAGUCAACCACUAGACUAACGAAGCUAUGAGCCAAGGAACUACUAACUCAAUACCCGGCUAAUAAAUAUAGGCUUCUUCCACUCAAUCAUUUGAACUCUGGCUCAUCUAACGAAAUUGGUUUUCUCAUCUAACUCAAUUGAUUUUCUACCUUAGGCUCCUAGGCGACUAUGAACUUCUUAUAAAGCUUCCUCAGCUGCUCUUGAAACAACUUCUUUCUAAGAUGAACCAAGGGGUCAAAAGACAGAUUCCACUCGGGAUGGUGCCUAGACUAUCACAGUACUACCAGAGUUAGAUUAGAUGGAGUAGAAUAGUAUACGCUUGCCCCAUCACUUGUUCUUGUUGUGCCGAGGAAAACUGUAAUGGAUUCUCGAACAUAUGGUAUAAAAUGAAGUACAUAUCCUGAUCCCGUUACGGACCCUGGUAACGCAUCUGACCCUGACCUUUCCACUGCUGGAUAUACUUCUAACUUCUCCUUACACUGGAUACUUUACUAGCACUGCUUCCUCAUACGAUGAAACUAGAGCAGAACAUCACUCUCCUUCUUACUUAACAGCUUCCCGAAAGAAUAACACCUAGCUACCUGGCAAACUGACUAGCAGGGCCUAAACUCAUAAGUGAGAAUGGAAUUGCACCUAUGGAGCACUGGAAUUGACUCUGCCCCGGUACUUGACUCUGCAACUUACUGGAAGGGCCUCGUAUUGGAAUGAAGAGUUUCAUCAGUUCACCUAUAUAAGAACAGAUAGAAUUAUCCCAUAUUUUUCCCUAGUAUUUCCCUACUGAGUAUGUAUAUGAGAAAUCGUUGAACAUGAGCGGCCCUGCCGCGUAACAUUAGGAGUUACUUGGCUCUGGAUUAUUUGCAUUUGAUCAUUUCUUGUUCGAUAGAUGGAUACCUACAUUCUUCCCACUCCGAUCCGACCUAAACUCUUGCUCUGUAAACUAAUAAAGAGUUGGAUCCCGUCCCGAGCACAUAGCAAGUAGGAAAGCAUACAGAUUGAACUAGUUUACUUACCUCUCCUCUUGAGCUCACUCCUACUGUUGCUUGAAACCCAACCCACUCACCAAAACCCAGGAAAAAAGGCAGCACUGGUGAAAGCUCCUCCGCGUAACGUUAGUAGUGGCUUGGUCAUUAGCAGUUCCUUGGUGGACUUGUUUAUAACACAAGGAAAGGAGACAAGCCUCCAACUAAGCACUAAGUAUACGCUUGGCACUUGUUUUAGUUGUCUCAGAGGCGGAUGUUUUACUUGCAGAGUCAGAGAGGGGUUAAGAUAAAAAGCACAUAGGCAGCUAAGCUAGGAAGCACGAUCAGGAUAGAUAGCCGGUAUUGAACUAAAGAAUGAUGUUGACUUCAAACUUGAUAGAUAGGUCAAGUAAGAGCAUUGGGCCCCGGGUUGGUUCAGAGCACAGGGUUGGUUAUAGGCCUCAGCAAUGUAUAACUUUUGAUUGCACUAUUGAUGAUAACUACACCUAUGGCUCCACUAAUAAAGAAUGAAACUAUACUUACUGAGACUUGAAAAGAGUGGAAGGAAUUCAUAUGCUCCGGGCCAAGCAACUCUCUAUCUGGUGUUACAAAAGAAGCUAGAGAAUCAGCAGUUUACAGGUGUUGGCUUAGAGAAGAGAAAUCCUUCCUUCCUGUCCUGAGUUGGAGGGUCAGUUUCUGUUUAAGCCAGUCUUUGUCUACUGGUAGGGGAGUGGAGAAUAGCCAGUUCUUGUUGCAUCGUAAAGCGGGUCUGCUAAUGAAAGAAAGUAUACUUAAUGGAGUGAUAGAACAAGUAGUAGAGUAGCCCAGAGGUAUGGGAGAGGGAUGGUUUUCAUGGGUAUGUAUAGGAACAAUAGGUAUAAAAGAUGAAAUCGGUAUAGUUGCAAUAUCUGACUUAGCUAGUGAAAUUCUGGAAUUCUACCUGAUGAGUCGAGGCCCUUAUAGUGAGUUUCGUGAGUUCAAUUAGAACUUGCCUUACCUACCAGUGAGUUCAAUUAGAACUUGCCUUACCUAUUGCAAAGAAUGGGUCAUAGGAGUAGUAAUUCUUAUCUUAAUCAGAGAAUUGGGCAUAGGUUUCUUAUACCUUGUUGCGGCGGAUAGUAGAGGCGAGGUGGGGCGCUAAGCAAGAAAGAUGGAAUUAAGUAUUUGUUGAAAGAGUAGAGGUCUUAACCCCGAGUUGAAUCCAUCCGUUCUCCUAUAUAAAUAUAAUAUAUCAUUUAGUAGAAUUUCCCCUACUGUUUAUCUACUGUGUUGGUAUAGACAAGAUGAAACGACUUUUCUACUAUUUUUUCAUUUUAUCAUUGAUUGUUUUUUCUGGUUUCUUGCCUGAUAGCUUUCAUUGUUUUUGAUUCCUUGCCGGAUAGCUUGAAUUGCUUCCCUUGAGACCUAGACUCUGGACUAGAGCAUCUCUUCUACCUUUGCUCCUAUAACUUCAUGAAGAUUGCCAGGUUACAUCCUCCUAUAUAAUAACAUAUAGAAUUUCUAUGGCGCCAAGUAACGGAGUAAGUGUAGCGGCAGUGGCCAAGUAACUACUAAUGUUACGCGGCAGCCAAUAAACAGUUAUAACGGCCAAGCAACUACUAACGACCGCCAAGACACUACUAACGUGGCGCUAAAGUGAGUUUUAGGCGGCGCAAGACGUUGGGCGGUAGCAAUAGUAACAUAUAUUACAAGUUAUUACAAUAGAUGCUUUUGGGGCCGCUCCACUCUUUCUAUUACAAUAUAUGUUUAAAGCUACUGUUUGUCUACUUAAUUCGGUAUAUGAGAAAGAUGUCGACUUUUCUGGAUUAUUUGAAUUUCUUAUAAAUUCAUUCACGCCUCUGAUCUCUCCUCUGAUCUUGCUAAUCUACCUCUGUAAACUCCCAAUCUAUCUUCUCUGUAAACAAGGGAUUCGGACUAUCACUUCACUUUCUUUCUUUAAAAACAGUGUAUCUAUGCUUUCUAGAGCCCAUUGCUUUAUCUCAUUCUCACUUACCCUUAGUUAAAGUCUGCCUUUGACUUGACCUCUUUGAUUCUUACUAAACUGUAUCUCGCUCUCGGAGCUAGCUAUUAAAUGCCUAUGCCCGGGAGUUAGUCUCCUAUGUUCCUGGUUGAGUCUGACUAUACUGUCUUUUAGCCUUGCAUUACUACUUACUAGACUGUCCUUUAGCCUUGCAUUACUACUUCCCGUUCUGCUGCCACUAGCUUCAAUACUGGCUAACAGAGUUAAGAAUCGAGCUGGGACUUACAAGACUUAUCUCACUACUAGAAAGAAUCAAACAAGUGAGUAAUAGAAUAGGUAAUCAUAUCGGAGGGGAUCAAACUAAUAAGUCAGAUAAUCGAUAUAGAACAUGGGAAACAACCUCCUACUUAUAAGUGUUGGCCCGGGAACUCGGCCUUUGUCCCCUUGCCUUCAGUCUGGUACCCCGGGUGCACAUCACAUAUGUAUUUCCUACAUAGGGCUUAGGCUCCUUACUUUUCUUCUGACUUAUGAGCUUUUGUUUUCAACUAGAUUCUAUCGGGCUUAGGCUCGUUCCUUGCACCGGGGCGGGUAGUCUGAUCCAUCGGGUAAAAUACAAUAAUAGUAGGUAGUGUGGUACGACUAAUAGUAUUAAGUAUAAGAAUGCAUGUUGGGGUCAAAAGUGAGAAUGGUAGCGAGGGGAAGAAGAAAGAAAUGCCUCCACUAGUAUAAGAAUGCUACUAGGGACAUUGAGACAACAGCUACUACUUAUAAGCAAACUUAGGCUUUCGCUACUACCUAUAAGGCUUUAACCACUAAUAGGAAUGAAAUACGACCCAGGCCAAGCACCUACCCUUAGGGUUACAGAAUCAAACUCAGUAGCAAGAGGGAGAGGUGAGCUUGUCCAGUUGCCUUGUCCAGUUGCUUGGCCCCUGCAAAUAGGUUAUAGGCGGGCUGAGAUUACACAGGGGUAGAGACCAAUGCUAGUAGUACCUGAGAUUACACAGGGGUAGAGACCAAUGCUAGUAGUACCUGGUCCUUGUCCUAAUUCACUUUCUUUUGAGCUCAUCAUAGGAAAAAGAUCUUUAUUGUUUGUUGGAAAUCCUCAUAGAAAUGGUUGGUAUCAAAAAUCAGUAUGAAACUAACGGACACAUCAUUAAAGAAGACCAAAGGAAAGAGGUUGUGAAUGUAUUGUUUCAUGUUUCCACUGUGACUUUAGCCCGGGAAGGCUAACUCGACCAGAGGAUCCGAAGGAGAAGAAGGGCUUGCUGCUAUCCAGAUCUCGAUAAACAAAUGGAAGGCAAAUGUUGUCCUCUUUUCCGGCGNNNNNNNNNNNNNNNNNNNNNNNNNNNNNNNNNNNNNNNNNNNNNNNNNNNNNNNNNNNNNNNNNNNNNNNNNNNNNNNNNNNNNNNNNNNNNNNNNNNNNNNNNNNNNNNNNNNNNNNNNNNNNNNNNNNNNNNNNNNNNNNNNNNNNNNNNNNNNNNNNNNNNNNNNNNNNNNNNNNNNNNNNNNNNNNNNNNNNNNNNNNNNNNNNNNNNNNNNNNNNNNNNNNNNNNNNNNNNNNNNNNNNNNNNNNNNNNNNNNNNNNNNNNNNNNNNNNNNNNNNNNNNNNNNNNNNNNNNNNNNNNNNNNNNNNNNNNNNNNNNNNNNNNNNNNNNNNNNNNNNNNNNNNNNNNNNNNNNNNNNNNNNNNNNNNNNNNNNNNNNNNNNNNNNNNNNNNNNNNNNNNNNNNNNNNNNNNNNNNNNNNNNNNNNNNNNNNNNNNNNNNNNNNNNNNNNNNNNNNNNNNNNNNNNNNNNNNNNNNNNNNNNNNNNNNNNNNNNNNNNNNNNNNNNNNNNNNNNNNNNNNNNNNNNNNNNNNNNNNNNNNNNNNNNNNNNNNNNNNNNNNNNNNNNNNNNNNNNNNNNNNNNNNNNNNNNNNNNNNNNNNNNNNNNNNNNNNNNNNNNNNNNNNNNNNNNNNNNNNNNNNNNNNNNNNNNNNNNNNNNNNNNNNNNNNNNNNNNNNNNNNNNNNNNNNNNNNNNNNNNNNNNNNNNNNNNNNNNNNNNNNNNNNNNNNNNNNNNNNNNNNNNNNNNNNNNNNNNNNNNNNNNNNNNNNNNNNNNNNNNNNNNNNNNNNNNNNNNNNNNNNNNNNNNNNNNNNNNNNNNNNNNNNNNNNNNNNNNNNNNNNNNNNNNNNNNNNNNNNNNNNNNNNNNNNNNNNNNNNNNNNNNNNNNNNNNNNNNNNNNNNNNNNNNNUCAUCAUUUUCAACGUUCGGAGAAGGCCUUUUACACCCGAAAACAUAGUCCAAAGGGAUACCUAGCCUCUCGUCCAUAACCGAGCCCAGAAGAGGAACCGAACCGCAGUAAGGGCCUAAAGCAUUUGAACCUUGAAGCUUAUAUCGAAAAAGAGAAUCAGACAAGCCGACAAGCUGUUGCGCGUCAGUGAGUUUUACCUACGAAGUAUAUCAAACUACCCUUUCGUCUUCUUUUCUCAUUGGAAAGUAUUCUACGGAUUCGGGAGUAACGAGAACUAGGAUUGGAUUGAAAACUGUAAGCCUGGCUUCUGAUCUCGGCAACUAGGUUUAGGCUUCAACAACGGAUUUCUCAUCUCUCGCCUCGACACUGUAUUCUUUAUUUAUUACUACCGAUACUGUAUUCUUUAUUUAUUACUACCUUAUAUAUACCCUCUGCCCUUAUUACUCUGAUUUGAUUCUGGAAUUCCAUUAUGAACUGAAAGUCGACCAGAGGUAAUUCCAUUAGAAACUGAUAAUAGAGUUUCGGGUGCUGUGCUGAGAGUAGUAGAGUUGGGGAACUCAUCUCAUUAAGCCUAUGGUUAGUAACUAAACUGAUUGGCCAAAGUAAACGAGAAGAAUCCUAAGCUUUCACACUGUUUUAGGAAAGGACCUACUUUCAAGUGGCUGAUCACAGGAAGGACCUACUUUCAAGUGGCUGAUCACAGGAAUAAUAGAAGAUCUCCUAUCACAGUGAGUAGUGGAGAGUAAAAAGAUGCUAAGAAAUUAAUACUUACUUAUAAGGGGUAGCAAGCAGACUUUCCAAUCAUAGUGGGAAGGCGAUCACUAGUGGAUGCACUCACUGAACCCGACAGUCUUUCCAAAAGAGUAGGAGCGUCGAAUUACAAUGAAUUGGGACCGGCCGCUCUGUUGCAUUUAUAUUUGGCGAAAAAAACCAAAGAAGUGAAUUGACUGUUUCGGAAACCUUUGAAAUUGAUAUUCUUUCGGGAACCUUUGAAAUUGAUAUUAGAAUCCCGACUUCCUGCUCUGCUACGACUAUUCCAUUGAUAUUGGAAUCCCCUUAUCCCUACUUCCUGCUCUGCUACGACUAUUCGGAAGUCUUAAUCAAAGGGGGUAGAGUGAUUUAUUACUACAUUGUUGCCAGUAGCCAGAGGGGUCUCAUAAGAAAGGUUGAGUAGUGACUUUAGCAGCGUUAGCACUUUCUUUCUUUGGCUUGGCAAACAAAACUCGUACACUAGCGCUAUUGCUCGUUGAAAAGAGGCACCCCGGCUUGUUGAAAAGAGGCACCCCGACCGACCCUAUACUCAAAUACUAUAUUAUAGCUAAAGCUUGUUUAUCGGUUUGAACUCCCGUUAGCACAACGUCUUGCUGCCCGGCGCAUCCCGCAACUCAAUAAGAAGUGUGUUUCCUCCCUAGCCGCCUAAUACACCAUUGCUCGUUCACUUGCUUUUGCCGUAGAGAUACCUUAUACUUGACUAGAGAUACCUUCUACUUUACUUGAUUUAUACCCUUGCUUUCGAUCUUAGAACACAGGUUUGCUUCCCAUAAGCGAGUCCAGAUUUGGUUUCUGCAUAGUAUAGACCUAAGUAAAGACAAUGUUUCCCUUUCUUAUGAAUCAGCCGGAACUUUCAUGCUUGGCUUCCCUUUUGCUUCCUUACUUGCUUAGCGAGAUUGCUUCUUUAGAGAUUCAUCUGAAACUGUUCCUUUCUACCCUACCGUACUCCACCAGCUCCUGCGGGACAAUCGGGACAUUCAUAAGCUUACUUCCGAACUAGACUUGAAGAACCGACCCGAAAUGAUUAAGUCGCACCGAACCUAGUAGCACCCAAAGCAAAGAGACGAGUAUUAAGUGCCAAAAACACUCUCCUCUCCUAAAGCUAUAAGAUCAAGAUACCGCCCUGAAGAACUAUGGGUUUGUUAAGGCUAUCAACUACCCCCCCCAUACAUAUCAUCUCGGUGUUGGCUGUAAACCCUGAAAAGUGGCUGCUCUUUCUCGGUUAACUCCCAAACUUUCUUUCUUUCCCGCUUCCUUUAAUUAAUAGUAAGCGCAUUAGGAGCUAUCAGCAUGAGAACUUAGAUUCGGCUGCCUUUCCUUACUCAAAAAGAACGGAAAGAUAAUCCGGCAAAUUGCACUCCAUAAAACCUGCGAGCAAACUGAAGCUUCAAGCAAACUAUAGCGGAAAAGAGGAAAUAGCAACCUGCGCCGAGAUACGAAAUACAAGUAAGCAGUAGAGGUUGGCGCAAAGAGAAGAGGUGUGUGUUGUACUGGAGAGUAAUUGACCCCAUUUCUAAGUCUAAGGCAUUAACUACCACAGUUGGGACUGUCUAAAGUAAAGAAUGGAAUCUACUGUUUCUUGCGCUGAAGAGAGGAGAAGAUCUGAUUUUAUUGCCUGAAAAGAAGAUAGUCUGGAAGAUUGCACGAAGGAAGAAGUAAGCAUUAGUUAGUGAUGAGAAAGCCGUUGCUUGAAGAGAGCAACUUAAAUGUGAGGAAAGCCUAAGUGCUAGCGCGAGCGGGUACCUUAGUGUGGGGAAAGCCUAAAAAGGUGAUAUAUUGACUCAUAGCUUAACACAAGCACCCGAGCCUAGUAACAGACUUCGGGCUGACUCUAUAGUCUCUCGGUCAAUCGGUGGUCUAGUAACUUCAUUAAACAAGUAAGUCAAGGUAAAGCGCCUAUUACUGAUCUAAGAGCAUCCCUUUUGCUAGACUAAACUCGCUAGCUCCCCCACAGAGGAAACUCUACACUCAGGUACCAGUAAAUCCUUUCAUACCUUAACUCCGGACUAGAGCAUCUCAUCUAACUGAAUUGGCCUGUGUUCUACCAGCAAUAAUAGGGUUCCAAAUGAAUUCUUUCUCAUGAUAUUGAGGGUUUGUUCUUAGACUCUAUUCUUUCUUCGGCUGAUGAAACUCUAGGCUCGGCUUCUCGAACAGAAAGAUACUCGUCUCCAACAACUAGAUCGGUUGGGUUGGCCAGAUAAGAGAGGUCGGCCAGGGAACUAGCAUCUGUAUCUGUCUUGGAAUCUAUUUAAGUGCUCAUUAACAUUAAGUCUAGCUCUAAUGAUUUUGUUUAUUCUUUGGAUUUAUUACCUACCUACUGCAUCUGCUUCGUCUGAUACGGAGUCUGAUACUUUGUUUGCUGAUUCAGUUUAUUCACUUGGAGUUGAAUUCAUAGUUUAUAGCUCAGUAAGCAUCCUAUCCCCGGUAGACUUACUUAUUAGUUUGGAUUCCCUUAAGUAUAUAUCUGCAACUUCUCAUACACCUUAGCACAUCUGCUCUUGCGUUAUAACCUAUACUCCUUAUUCCGAGUUUCGAUGUAUAGUCUUAUACUCUUUUCUCUGAUCCUAAUACUUGCUCCUUCCAUUCCACUCUUGCUUGUUAGCUGCCCUUACUUUCGUCUCCUUACUUUACAUACAGGAGAGUUCCAUUCUUCCUUUCGAGUGGGGAGCACCUGGUCCUGUAUAACUAUGACUUUCUAGUGGAAUUCCUACUUCCGAGCAUAGAGCACCCUAAACUAGCUCGUGUACCCGCCCCUAUUCUUCUCGUGUACCUGUGACCAUAUUCUUAUUAAUAUGUAUUUAAUCCAAUCUUUUACUACUUCUUUGGAUUCUGACCACUACAAUUAUUAUUCCUAUAGCACAGUGGGGGUACCCUGACUUAAGGCAAGGAAGUCAGACCGAUAGCCAGGAGAAAGUGAGCCCUAUCAGUAGUCGCGAUAUUUUGGAUUAUAAGGAACAGUAUUGGAAGCCGCGAUUCCAUUCUUAUAUGCCCGUUGUUGUUAGCAGUGGUUUCAUCCUCUUACUACUUCAUUGAAUUCCGCCGUUCUUUUUCUCUUACUAUACUAUUACAACUGCGAGUCUUAUACUAGAGUUCAUCAUCUACGAAUCCAAUAGGGGGGUCUAAGGCUUCAACAGGAGCAUAGGCACUUAAGACAGGCGUUGAAAGAACAAGUCCAAGUUUGCCCUCUAGCAAGUAGGGCUCGGACUACUAGGUUUAGUUCCUUAUUUCCUGGGUGAGAGUUUAGUGUCAUACGCCCCAGUUCAGUUCUCUGCAGUAGUAGCAUUGUUUUUCAUAGAGCUCCCCAAUUUCAUGAACGAACACAAAAUAGUUGAAGCUCCAAAAACCAGGACGGAGUCGUUGAUUUCUUGUUAACAUCAGUAUAAGGUUUCAAAGCUAGUGGAGCAAGAUUCGAGAUCAGCAGCUAGACUAAUGCUAACAAGGGUCGAACUAAGUAAACCAAGCCUAACUCACCAGCAGCCCAGGCCUUAUUGCCUUACUUUCAAACUUCCACUAAUUUCUGAAAGGUUACCAAAAACCCAAUAUAGAGUAUUGCCUUCCUCACUUUGAUUCUGACUUACUUAACUGCCCUCUCGCUACUAACUAUUAGGCUUAGCGCUCUACCCAAACUAACAUGCCUCACUUUUGCUUUACUACCUUUGCUUUAACUCUGUAGUGAGUACUUCUAAUACUUUGUGGAUUUAAACGAUAGCUCUUUUGCGGGUGUGCUCAGUAAACAUAAUUCUGUGAGGUCAACAGCAUUCUUAGAAGUCUCGAUGCUAACUACUACUCAACUAGAGGAAUGAAUCAACUCCGACAGGAAGAGAAUUAAGCCACUACAAAUUGAUAAUUGUACUCAUCCGUAACAGAACUAACCAGCAGAGGCUAGACUUCAACAACAUAGGGAUCAAACAAACUUAGGAGUAUCGGACUUCAAACUCAUAGGACAGGAUCCAAUCCAACAGUGAAGUUCAAGAAAGAAAGUGAGUGGUAUCGGGUCAAGAGAGUUUAUAGUACUAUUGUUACUAGCUUGGUUCUGACUUGACCAAACAGACCUAUAUCUCUACUAUUGGUGUUAGCCCUAUAAUGAAUAGUAUGAGAAAGUAUGAAAAUACGCUAGAGGAUUGGGGUUAGGUUAAGAUGUUAGAUCAGGACCUUAGAUGCGGUGAAGCAAGGUGAUUAUAGGAGUAGUUCAAGUGGGAAGGUAAGGAUAGUCAGAAUAAUCUAUUGUAUAGGAGGAAUCAAAGACAGGAUCCAAUGUCAGUGUUAGAGGAUCAAUCAAUACCCCAGGAAGGUAGCUUUGGCUAAGUAACUACAACUCAAAAGUAAGACUAUUAAGUCAGUUUGAAAGUAGAACAGAACCCCUUGUAGCUGACUUGAUUCUUUUCUUCUCGAGUCGACAACUAAGGUCAACAAUAACCUCUACCCUACGACAAGGAACUAGAGCACCAACCUCUUAUUCUGAUUAUUAGAUGACAGACGCCUCUUCAAAGCACCGAACUCCCACUUGGAUUAUGAUUUGUAAUAUAGAAACUGGAUCUCCUUCCAGCUAUUCUAAUGAUUAUUAUCAUUCUCACUUAUGCAGUAAACCAAUAUACACCAAUGAGUGGGACAACGUAACUUCAUGAUUAAACACAGAAAUCUAGGACCUACACUAGUCACUCGGGAAUCCAACUGUACUACAAUAGAUCGAACUGCAGCUAACAAGAAUAUACACCACUACCGGAUAGAUUUGAUCUUACUAAUAAACAAUUCAACGGGAUUCCAAACACUACUAACAGGACUGUAGCUGCUCUUACUUGACUAGAUAUCAGGCUUAGUGCUCUACUCGUCAUUCUUUAGGGCCUUUAGCUGGAUUCCUCUCGUUCAGAUCCGUCUAUCUCCCUACUGCUUCAUGCUUAACCACUGCUCAUAAGACUAGUGCUUCGAACUUAGAAUUACACUAGUACUUAUAAUACUUAGCUACCUAACUACCAGAAUCGAAAAAGCAACAAACAAUUCCAUAUUAUUAUAAUUAAUGUGAGAAUUAAUGUUUGUAUUAUUAUAUUCUAAGUGAUAAGAGAAUGUUUGAACAAGCCCAUCAAGUAAAGCACCUGCAACUUAUUAUAGAGCCUACCUCUACCUUGAAUUGUAUGAAACUAUUAUAGCACCGGGUGGAUUCCACCUUUCUGAACCGACAACACCACUGUCAACCGCUUCACCUCUCUGACCCGCUUGCAACAUGGAAUUUCUCAUUUAUAUCUCUUGUGUCACACUAAAACGAAACUGAACUCUCAGACCCGGUAACAGGACACUUGUUCUUGCCCGAACGACACUUGAAUUGAAGUCAUAACCGCCUAACCACUGACUUUUUCAUCGUUACUGCUUGCUGUUUACUCUCCAAGGAAUUGCUUCUCUUGGCUACCUCCCCUUUCUCUUAAGCCACUUAGUCUUGCUCCAGUCCUGUUUCGAGCCGAGCCCUAGUAUAUAUAAGGUAAUAUUAUUUAGUUCUAUAUGAUCUCAACUCCGAUACUUAAGCUUAAGCUGAAUAAUUGCAUUUCAUCUCUAUUGCGCCAAUAGGGGUUUGCCAGAACAAAUACUGGAGUUAAGGGUCGGGUUGGUGACUUCUGGUAGUACUUGCUAAGUAUACCUUGCAAUGAAAAAACACGGGAAAACGCACAAAUCUUAUUUCUAUGAACCAAGCUAAGAAGGAAAAGAACGAAGCUAUGAAAAAAGCCGGUAAACUUCCUGCCGCGUAACUAACGUAGUUACUUGGCCGCCUAGAUCGGCUUGGUCGUUAGUAGUUGCUUGGCCGUUCUUACUUUUUCGGCUGCUGUACGGAACACCUGUGAGAGAGGAAGGAUUGAAUCCACUAGUGCCCUUCUGAAAUCGGAAGACUCCGCAGAAUAUGUAGGUACUUAUGGCAGAACGGUCUGGUCUUUCACAAUAAAGUUCUAGAUGGAACUGACAUGAAACGACCUUAUUAGCGGAUUAAUAGAUUAUUUGUUAAUGGCAUAUACAUCACACAUCCUGGAUCAAGGACUUACUCAGCUCUAGGUUUCCAGCAAGCCACUGCUACAUCUAUUUCAUUAGGAAUUGAUUCUCUUUUGACCUUAUAAGGGAUGGCUAGUCCAAGAUGCUGAACAACCCACUUUAUGAAUUGCUUUUAAGCGAGCGAGUGAGUCAAGAUGCGGGAGGACUUAACUGGCUAAGAGGGUAGGAGAAUGAGUUUCCAAAGAAUAUGAAGGGACAGGGAAGCAUCAUUGAGCAAGCUUAGAAAGGUAACAGGCGUAACAAGCUCAAAAGCGAUAGAAGCUUUUUGACGCACACUCACACUAAGAUUGAGAUUCAGGUCGCCCGCCUCCUACUUAUAUUCUGAGGAAGGUAUUAAUCCCUCUCCUUUAAGUUUCAAUUGAAUCGAUCCGAGAACUAGGUUCAAGGGAUAGGUCGGAAGUUACAUCGUGAAAGAGAAAGGGCCAUGAUGGAAAAGGACUUAUUUCUUAUCUGCCUUAUCACUUGGAAAAUCUGACCUUGCUGGCACUUACUAUCUCCGCCUUAACUGAAUGAAAAAGGACUAGACCGAACCUUAGCCUAGGUAGGAAGGCAAGACCUACUAUAUCUUCAAAGAGUCAAGAAGUCAUGAACUCUGGACGGAUCUCUAAAGACUGUAGAGAGUUGAUAUGAAGUCCUAGGUUUGAAUUGGAAAGUGCAGCUGCGAAGAAAUUCCCCUAUCUGACCUAGCUAUGUAUAGAAUCCAUCUCCCAGUCGUAAGAGGUAGCGAGAUUCAUCAAUAAUAAGUCCAUUGGGCUCAAGCUCUCUAUCCGCCGAGUUGCUCAUCUUAAGAACAGCCUUGCCUGGCCAUCUCUCUCGCAAACUACCUUUCUCUAAGCCUCGUCCCAAGCUAGACUCCGCCCAUCUCUUUGAUUUGAUUCUUGUCAUUAUGAUGAAAUAUGAAAUGAGCUCCCCAUCCAAAAUGGCGAAACCUAAGACCGAAGCUAUCAACCAUCUCCCCUAUGCCGAGAUUCUUUGGACCAUGCUGCAUCCGACUUAUGGCGCUCUAUCAGCUAAGGAGGGAGCUAAGGUAGUUGUAUUCGCCUUUGCUGCUCUUAAUGAAAAAGGAGCUGUGGCAUCUCUAUCAGCUAGUUAGCUAGCCGCUCUUUACCUAGUCUUCGCUAGUUUCAUUUUGCUUCUCGGCUUAUUCAUUUCGGACUAGUAGCGGAGUCCCCUGCCUUUUUAGGGAAGAAGGUAAGGUAGUUUCUAUUCAUGCUUGCAUCUCGCCUAUCCUCAGAAGGAGGUAUCUCAUAGGAUCUGACUCACAGUAAGAAGUUACACACUAAUAAGUAAGGAGAUGGGUAUGCCCUUUGUGGUUUUGGAGAACAUCCUCUUAUCGUGAUUGAUUGGUCACUCGAAAUGCAAUAUGACUGAAGACGUAUCUCUGUCGAUCCGUACACACACUGAAAGAAAUCUCGUACGCUAAGCGCUCCUUCCAUGUGGCUAUCUACCGACUGGAUGUCGCCCGCUCUGACUCUUUUCUUGACUCUAAUACGGCUUAAAGGAAUACCUCAACUAUUUGGCAAAGAAUACCUCAACUAUUUGCCGAUACCGAGCUGAGUGAAUGAGCAGCUUUCAAAAGCUGUAGAAAGAUACCAUGUUCCAUGCUCACCUAGAUGUACAAGCAGUCAACCUCUAUUCUCUUUUUUGUAGCUGUGGCAUUCUUGUGAAAGGGGAAAGAGACUACCUAGUGGCAAAAGUACAAACAAUUUACCUCAAUCGCUGGGCUGGGAAUCGAUCAAGUAUUAACUCACCUAUGGGGCGAAACUAAAGAACGCAAAGUUUGGGACUAGGCACGACCCCUCUUCUUUCUUUAUACGAUCGUUUUGAGUUUGACUGAUUCCUUAUGGGGAUUGAGCGUUUUUUUGAAUAUGGUUUUAGCUAUACUAGACUAAAGCCCAGGUUGUCAGAAUCCUAUAUCUUAUAGGCAAGUCAUAUCCGUCGUUCAGCGUUAAGGAAUGAAAGUGAGGAAGCAGCUUUGAAGUCAGUAGCGACAGACCUAUAGUUAGUAGCCAGGGAAUUAGAGAGCUUAGUCGCAGUGUUUGUAACUCAAAAGCAAGAAAGCAAGUAAGUAGCUGAGGAAACAGAGGCAGGAAAGGCAUACUUUAACCAAAGGGUGGAAACAAUAGCAUAGGUCAUUUCGGGCAGUAGCGAAAGUACUAUUUCCUCGGUUGACUCUUUCCGGGAGUGAUUCAAUUCAGUCUUCUUAGGUCGAUUCUUCCUUUUUAGUUUCAGUUCCUCUGUUUUGUAGUGUGAUUGCAGCUCUGCGCCUACUGCUUAUUGUACUGCUGAGUUCCCUAUGCUUAACUACUCUUAGUCUAUUGCUGUAUGUGCUUAGUCUCUCGCUGGAUGCGCUAUGCUCUUAUCAUGAAGAGCCGGGGCAUGGGAUACUAACAACAGUAGAGGAAACAAUCAACAGUAGAGGAAACAAUCGACUUCACACCGGCACCAUAGCUCUCUCGUUCAAUGAGAAUAGAAAUUAUCCUUUGUUCUCAAUAAUAUAUUCUAAUGAGAAAAGAAAGAAUAGCAUUAGCACUGAGGAAACUAUCUCAUAAAGAAGAGAAUUGGUGCUGUGCUGAGGAAACUAUCUCAUAAAGAAGAGAAUUAGCACUGAAGAAACUAUCUUGACAAUAAGAAUAGCGUUGGCACUGCUUACCUAAAAUCUGGCUUUACCUAUAAAGAGAUUGGUGUAAAUGUUACUAUAACAGCACCUAUUUGGGCAACUACAAGUCCAGUGUAUUAGGAGUGAUGAACAAGCCCUGUAAUCCAAUAAAGAAAGACCUGUGUUCGGCAACCAAUACUAGAAAGAAUGGAGACUAUGCCCCGAUAAGCCAGCCUUUCCAGCAAUUGGUCUUCAACUUAUUCAUAGUAAGAAGCGAACAGCUGCUUCUCAUAAUCGAACUACUGGCAAGCAGACUUCAACUAGCACAGGUAGGACUUACUACCUACCUGACAAGACUGCCUCUCCUGCUUUAAAGACCGCUUCCUAUACUGGAUCUUACAAUAAGGAAUCUCAAUACACCGAAAGGGAAUCGAAUCGCGGAUAACAAGCCUUACUUCCUAUCCCCGGACACUCAAACUUUACCUACUACCUUACCCACAACUUGCAUUCGUGGGAGCAUCCAAAGCACCGACUUAUAGCUAUAGCACCUUAUUCUUAUUCCUUUACAUACAGAUAUAGCCUCCGACUUUCCUUUAUCUAAUUCUUAAUACCCUUUCUUUCUAUCCAGGCUAGCACUACUAUCAGCUUGCCCGCACAGGGAGGCCCUUAUCAAUACUGUCAACCAACAACGAACAGGGAGGCGCCCUUAUCAAUACUGUCAACCAACAACGAACAGUUAUUUCUUUUAACAACAACACACGGGUAUUUCUUUUAACAACAACACAAUAAGCCCUUACUGCUUUUCUUUCUUUAAACACCGGGGACAUAACCUGGCUUUCUAUAUAUUAUAUAUGAUUCUGACUACCCUGACUGGAAUUCUUUGACUCAUUGGUACGAUGUAGUGUAGCGCAUCUUGUAAUAGAAUAAUUGUAUAAGGAACUGUAGAGCGAGAACAAAACCUAGCUGUAAAGAAGAAAGGUACGAUCCAAAGCGCAUCCUGUAUAGAUAUAGAUUAGGGUACGAUCUAGUGCACCUAGCUACUAACCUUAACUUAAUAAGUCACAACCAAAACUGGAAUUCGCUACUUUCUAAUGAGGCUUUACCUAGAGAGUAAGAAAUCAACUAGGCCAAGUAACGACUAACUAUAAGAAGAACCCUUGCAAUAAAGAGGAACUACCCGCCUAACAACACAUCGAAAAUGUCCACAUAGAAUAGAAAAAGUGACUCUAUGACUUAAGCUUUAAUGCCUUAUUCCUUUUUCUUAUCUUACUUAUUAAUGAUUGUAGCCCGAGCCUUACUAUACUUUAUGGAAUUCUUUUCAUACAGCUUAUGAUCGUUACUUGCUAGAUUGAGUAUACCUAUUAUUAUCUUUGUGUUCGGAGUCUUACCUUCCUCUCACUUUACUUACCUAGAACCUUGCUCGUGAGACCCAACCUGCUACUCAUUCCUUGAACCCGCUCUCGAACUCUGACUACUCGGACAGCACAUAUGGAUUUGUAUCUCCCUAUACUCCAUAAAGCCUUACUGGCUCAUUUAAAACAAACACUACAGCUUUUCUUUCUUGAAACUCAAAAGGGAUCUUUGCUUUGAAGCUGGCACUGCUACUUAUUAGAAUUGAAACACUAUCUAACAAGCUAUAACUAAUGCUUAUAAUACUUCAACAGGCAAAUAGUAAUGAAACUCACAACAGGGAAUCGAACGACUAUUCUCAGAAUUGAAACACUACCUUCUAAGCUUGACUCCCAUAAUAAGGGUCGAUGUAAUUGAGCCGCUACUUAAUAAGCUUGACUAUCAGAAUAAGGAAGCCCACGACGAAGACUAUCCGAAUUGCACUCGAUAUCCCCUAUUCUUAGUAUGGAGCUCCUUGCUCUCAUUCUGAAAACGGACUACUAUUAGUCUUAUACCGGGUUCAUAGGCUUCUACCGAUAAGCACAAUUGCGUAUCCGUGCGCCACUAGCCAUUCUUUGACUACUCAAUUCCCGAACACAGUAAUAAAUAAGAGAGGUCAAUAGAAUAGGAGUAAAUAGAGAAGUAAUGUAAUAUGGAUAAAGUCAAUAUCAUAGAAACAGAAAAAAGUCUCAUAUAGAAAUUGGAGAAUCAGAGGUAUAACUUGCUAACGGAGCUCUUUCCACUGUAUUGCUUCAAGUAGAGGUCGACAAGGGAAUAUGUUAGGUCAAGUGGUGCAAGAGAGAUUCCAUAAGUGAUAUUUCAUUCUAGACUCAGGGAGCAGAAAAGGACAAAGGUCUUCUUUGAGUAGGAAGUGGCCAAGGGCGGGCUAGUGUUAUAAGCUGUAUUAUACUCCUACAUUGGGUCUAAGUCGAAUAAGAAGAACAAGCAGGAACUCUACAUUCCAUUGGUUAGUUACCCCUAUCUAUAGCAGUCACUUGUGUUUUACUUUACUUCAUUCAGACAGUCUGUCCAGUCCAAACAAGAACAAGUGUACUAAAGGGAGUUCAUUCUUUUCGAACAAGUGCACUAGAGUGGAGAAGAGAGGUUGAGUUUAUUCCCCUGUGCGCCAGACUGGUUAGGUUCAUGUACGACGUUUCCCUUGCUUACUCUCUUAUAGUCAAGAAUAUGGGCACCGGCACCCUAGAAAGGUAAGCUAAUGCACCCCGCUCCGCUUAAGUCAGUUUCUGUUAGUUCUGUGAAUGGAGUGUACCUAUGAACAGCGCGAAGAUGAUAGGCGUCAAUGCAUUUGUGCAGCUUUUCUUAGUUUCAAUGAUCUAUUUGCCAUUAGCGGCCCUACCGCGCUUUUAGCUCACUUUAGCUAGAAAUUAGGACUCAAUUGAAUGGGAUUUUAGUACGACAUAUCAGAAUGGAAUUUAGGAGCACUUAGGUGGGUAGCAUUCUUUAUUUGGAGUUGGAUUCUUACCUAAAAAACAGGACUUGGUAAUGUAGUUGCUUGGCCCUUCCUUCCCUAUGAGAGACGGGUAGUUAACAGGCUAUACACGACGUUCAAGACAAGAAGCCUUCUUCAGCCAACACCGAGUAGUUUCACUAAUUAAUACAUGGAGUUCUGCACACAUGAUGAAGUUUCUAGUGUUGUCCUUCCUUUCUUGGAGUUCCUGUUUUCGUAUUGGUGUUAGCUUACUUUGUUGUCCGUUAGCGAGUUCCACUUGUUUGUAUGCCGUGCACCUAUAAAGUAAUUGGACGUGCACCUUUAAUGUAAUUGAUUAACCUGACUGCCUUAUUUGCCCACUAAACAGGAUAGGGAAGGAAUUGAGUAUAAGUUGUUUCGGGUGCCUAUAGGACUGUAGUCAAUUAAUGACCCUGGGUUGUUGUAUUCGAUGUGGAUCAUAGUCAAGCCCUACAAUAGCAAUCAGGCCUAGUUCAGAUCUCCAACCGGGAAGGCGGGGGCCUGUCUCGGUCUCCUUCAGCGUCAACCCAUCAGGGAUUGGGAAGUGACUAAUAAAUUAGAGAAAAGUGCCGAUAGUUGUCAAUGAAUGUCCCCCUAACUGAAACUUAUAUGCGCACCUCCUAUUCAAGCUCUUGAAACAAAGGAAAGCAUGGAUAGAAAGAAUGACAGAUUCGUUGAGCAGGUAAGCGGGGAAGUCAUUCCGAAAGUCAUUUAGGUCCCAAUAGCUAUUGUACAGGAUUCGGGGAAAUCAUCAAUUGGAUAAGGGUGCCUCGAUAUGCCUAUAGGGUAAGAGUAAAGACCCCAUGUACAACUAGAAAGACGGUUGGUUGAGACCUACCUGGGCAUAUAUCUCUUAGUAAAGGUUAAUUCCAUUCCGGGAUAGAAUCUAAUAAGAGAGAGAAGUCUAUUGAGCUAGUCCACCAAGCGUAUACUAGACAAGAAGAAUCAAUUCCUUCUUAUGCUCCUGGUCCUGUUGCUGGUUUCAUUGAAUUUGCGGAUUCUGCUUCGAGACGAGGAGCUUCUUCUCUAACUACCCGUGCUGUACCUUCUUAUGAGUUUAAGUGAACGCCUGAUAGAGAGUCAACAACACCGAGAUACUGUUUCCUUCUUAUGAAACUGAUCCCGCUUAUGGAACGGAAUACUACAACUUUGUUUGAGCUCCAGUGGGACAAGAAGUGGAGUUACCAAACCGAACCUCACCGAACAAGCAAGUUAAGUGGUAGAUAACCAGAAGCAAGGGUAAUAAUGAAGUUCAACAAGUAUGGGUCGGGCGCUAAGAGAAGAGGCAUCGAAAAGAGGUUGAUCGAGGGAUCAGUCAUUUCUGUUUAUGUUAGAAAUGGAAGUUUCGUUCUUGGCUUUCUAGAGUCGGGUGCUAAGGUAAGAGAAUUGGCUGUUGAAACAGAAGAUACAGAAGAUGUAUUGUUCCCCGAAACUAAACACUAAGUCAAAUGGAACUGCUCCUAAUACUAAGCUAAGUCAGAGAAUUACCCAGGAAUAUGAAACAACACUUAUAUAAAAAGGUUAUGGAAAGCAAUAAGUGAGUUUUGAAGCAAAGCGAAAUAGUAGUCAUAUGUCCGCUCUUAGCUCUUAUAUCAAAUUCUCAGAAUAUUGGAUUUUCUUAUAUUCUUCACUAUGUAUGUAAGAGUGUUUUAUAUUUGAAUAGUAAUGUUACUGCAGACGUUGCACUUGCUGGAGGACAUAGGCAAGAAGCACCGUGCAUAGAAUUCAAAUAAUCUACAACCGCACUGCUUUCCUUAGUAGCAUCAUAAUUAGAGCUUUCCUUAGUAGCAUCAUAUGGCUCUGCUACACCUAUUACUGCUGGCUUUAAGAACGAAUGAAUAGGCGCACCCCUUGAAAGAAAGUCAAAGAAUACUAGAAUAUCGGCACUCAACUUUAGGAACUCAGCUAGGCAUCCCAACGCUAGACUUGCUUGCUGGAAGGACAGAAGCGGAGGGAGUAAGGUACCCUAAAUAAAGGACAGAGAAAUAGGAAUGGAAUAAAGGACAGAGACAUAGGAAUGGAAUAAAGGACAGAGACAUAGGCAACAGAGCACAGCUUAGUAAGGGACAUAGGCAGCCGAACCUUUCACAAACCUUUAACUAGACUUGAAAAGGUAGAGGCCCCCUUUACAGUUUUUCAGAAUGACUCCUUUUCUUUCGCCGUUACUUCUUCUUUCGACGUUGCUUGUUCCAUUGCUUGUUCAUGUUCUUUCUGUAGCUUCUUAUAGUUCAGUUGUCGUUGUGCUUACGUUUGUUGUGCAAAGGACGCUUCUGAUCAAUAGGAAUCUGCUUCCUCCAUUCAUUUUACAAGGACGAACUCUCAGGGUAGGUGCGUUCACUUGUUUGCUAGUUAACCUUGCUUGGUCUCCGGACUCCUUACUCUGAGGCAGAGACACCGUUAUCCAUACUUACUCAUUGGGGAGAGAAUGAGAAAGAAUUCAUUCUAGUAGGCGUAGGGGAGCUUACGGGCCAAAAGUCACUAGUCCCUAAACCCACAGCAUUGCUUUGCUUUUGAUUCCUUUACAGUAUAGAAGAGAAGGCAGGAGAGGAGAUUAUGAUGCUAUAUAUCAGUGUCCGAAAUUAGAGAACAAGCUAUCAGUAGAAGAAAGCAAAAGAAAGAAUAGAUGUCCAAUAUUUACGACUAGUUAAAAGGUAGGGGCUCGGCUCCUCAUGCGAGUAAAGCACUUACUCACUCCUUUGACUCUAUUGUUGGCUUAGCGUUGCCGAACGAGAAGACAGGAAAUUAUCUAAAGAAGAAGUUGUGCUCACAACCGUUGGCUCCUUGGACAGCUGGGACGGAUACAGGCUUGCCCGAUUAUCCGUACUCCUCGUGUCAAAGAUCCCGAUUCGCUAGACUAUUGAUGAAUGUGCUCUCUCACUAUGUUGAAUCCGAUUGAGCUCUUUUGAAAGAGCAGGGAGAACGACCAGAGAUUGGCUCUUAUCUCGAAAGCAAGGGCGGGAGCGUAAGCUGUGAGAUGAACCAAAGCAUCAUAGCAUGAGACAUUACAAGUAGAGGGGAGGCCGGAUGACUCGACCUUAGCCCUCGUCCAAAACCUAGCAAACAGACCGUUGUGAACCAGCGGCAAGAGAUGACAGAAAAGCAGAAGGAUAGCUGACCCGAAUAAGCUGGAAAAGUAUAAGUACGAAUAGAAGCAGCUGGUCAAGUGGAAUGGACUCCCAUCCCAAAGUUGGAAACUCAGCACUAGGGAGAAAGAGGGGGCGUCCCCAUUCAGGGUCAAUCUUCCUUCAAAUGCUUUCGAUAUUUGAGCCGUGUAAAUGUCCUUUCGGGGGGGAAUUGCCUGGGAUAAGUUAAAGUUAAGCCAGUCUACCCUUUCUCCAUUCGAUUAGAUGCGCUAUCCGGUCCAGUCCAGCGGCAUUUCAGGAGUUUCUUCAUUUCUUUGGGGACAAUAUAGACUUCCUUUUCUCUCGAUUCUCGGAUGUGGCCAAGGGGGGGAACUAGCAAGCGAAGCAAGAAGGAAAGAUGGGGGUUCAGUUCACGUAAAUCCUAACGCGCUUAAUAGAUUUCGCUUCUUCGGUCAAAUCUAAAGUUAGCGGGAAAGAAAGGGAGUAUUAGCAAGCAAUACAAUAAGAUAAGGGAGCCCAUAAAUAGGUAAUCAUAAUAUCUUAUAAAUAAGUCAUCAUAAUAUCUUAUUCAUCUGUGCGAUGCAAUAGAAUCAUAAGAGUUGCGGCUCUAAGUGCUCUUAAAUUACUAGAUGAUAUGUAUGCACAUCCGUUUCAUUAAUCUUUCUGUUUUACUUUCCUCUUCCUCGGCGCAAGAAAUCCAGCAAGUACCAUAGCUUAGAGUUAGGCAAAUAAGUCACCUCACGUCACGGCUGAUGCAAGUAUUAUUAAAGGAAGCAGUUGGGCGUGCUAACGUUAGUAUACCGAUCUUAUUAAAGGAAGGAAGUCGUUGGGCGUGUGAUAGUUUUUGUAGUCAUAGGUGUUUUGCUCAUCUAUUAUAUUAGUUGUGUUUGUCAUUCUUUUCUUCAAUGAAACAAGUAGUUGUGCUUUCCAUUCUUUCUUUCGAGAUUCGGUGUUUUGGAGUAAGGCUUCUAUUCAAGGGGUGAGUCAAGUCAAUAGGGUAGAAAGUCAUAAGGAUAAAGAGGGUGUUUUAAAGAAGUCAAGUCAAAAAGGUAGAAGGCUGGAACCUUACCUGCUGGCUGGCUCUGGCUCUGCUCUAUCUGCUUACUGAAACUCACUUAUGGAAUGAAAGUAAGCGGGAAAGAAAUCGGGGUUAAGGGAAUCAUAUCUUACUGGUGAAGUUUUGAAGCUCUGCUCUACUCCGUUAUCGCAACAGUCACUCACUGGCGCACAAGUCAAAGCAAGGAUAGCAAUGCAAGUCUCAAGUCUGGUAGAUGCUCGUAGAUGCUCCAUCCAGAAAGGGCAAGUCCGGUUUGUUUUGAUACCACCAAGCAACAUAGUACAAAGGGCCAAGCAACGACUAACCAAGCAACGUUGUAAGUAGCGCAGCGAGUUAUGAGCAAAGCAAGUCCUGUUGCGGAUUUCUAGCUUGCUGCUGAAGAAGGAAUUUCUUCUUACCGGAACUCUGACUCUUACACUGUCCUCAGACUUAAUUGAAUCUGGCCUGAACUAUGACUCGGAGCUUGAAGUUAAGGAAUCGAUUGUUCCUAAUUACUAUACUGCUGAUUCUUGAGUCGACUCCACUCGAACUUUACUUUCUUUCCUUCCUGCCUCAAAGAAGCCAGUCAUUUAUUAUCGAGCACAAAGUAUAGAAAGAAAUAUGUUACCUUGCUCCCUCGCCUUAUCCAUCUUAUUCUCUGGUAGACUUUCCUUGCAACCCAUCUUUCGAGCACACAAGCACUUCCUGAGGGCUUUCAAGUAAGGGGCACAUUAAGUAUAUAGCUUUUUCGUUGUUUAAGCGAUGGGUAAAUCUGCUAAUGGGAAAUAAAUGACCUAUGUUGCCCCACUAGAAGCUCUUUGAAAGCAUAUUUCACUAUGAAGAUAGCCCUCCCCUGUGCUCGUCGUCAACACAAUCCACUCUCCUUUUUGACUAAUAUGUAAGGGAAACACCUUACUUUAGAACUGUUGAUGAUCUUGUCGACUUUCAUUUACCUCUUCCUCUCGUUCGUAACAAAACCACUGAAAUUACUGCUUCUUUAUUAUACUUAACCUUGAUAUUGAACUCGCACUCAGUAUAGGAUUACUUGCGCACUGCUUCUUAUCUAACCACAAAAGUCAGAAUGGAACUGAACCCGGAGAAACAGAGUCAUUCUCCAUGAUAGGGGUCUAUCUAAUAGAAUAAGUCACUAACCGGCGGGCUCUUAUUCUCGCCAACCAAGCCUAGUGCUCCUUCUUGCCCAACCCUCUCUCUUUUUCUUUCUUGCCGUAUAUAAAAGACGAAUAUUGUUAGUAAUCUGACACUUACCUCGAUUCUAUUAUACCUUAUGGCUGCUGACUUAAGCUAUGAAGAAGCACCCAAAGAUACUGGCAAUACUGAACUUAUAAGAUACUGGCAAUACUGAACUUAACGCUUCAGAAGGAAUUGAUGAAUCAGCUUUCUAAUUAGUAGGAACAGGAUCUCCGUAAGCUGAUACGAAAUCCAUACUUGUUCCGGCGCAAAGUAUACAAGUACGGUUGACUUUGUGUUGUCUACUAGUGGAGUUAGAGUCGAAUCGACAAGAGAAGAGAAUCCUAAUUAUCAGUGCAAAAGUCGGGUGUUGAAGCGCUAAAUGGUCCAGUCCAAGUCCAAGUAUUAAUAAAGGUGUAAGAAGGUAAGCCUUCUGAGGCAGUGUUGUCUCCAAUAAAAGCCUAUAUAUAUCUAUAGUUUGUUCAAGCCUUAAGAGAAACUACAGGAUCCGAGGCAGUGAUAGGAAAUUCCGUAUCUGUAUCAAAGUAAGGGUCAGCAUCGGAAGCAGUAUAAAGAAAAGAAGCAGUGUUGUCUCCAGGAAAGUAUCCAAGAGAAGAGGCCAUUGACGUAGAGGUUCGAAUGUAGUCUACGAGAUCAUAAGAAGGAGCGGGAGAACAUGAUUUGAAGCUUCAGAUUGAAAGUCCGUAAGUAUACGAUAGAAUCCGCCGUUAAGUAAGCGGUAAGCGAGGCAGGAAGGAAUGUUUAGUUCUCAUCGCUACUAAGCACUUUUCGAAACUGUGCCCUAAGGAUCAGAAAAAGUGUUUUAAUAAGCGCCCUAAGGAUCUGAAGUAGUUUCAUAAGCUCGCUCCUCAACGCUAGAAAAAAGCACUUGCACAUGGCAGCUGCCUAACGCCGAUGAACAAAGGACGAAGCAAUAGUACCCAGAUAAAGCAGAAACUGGAUCAGGUAAGUAAGCAUAAGCUGUGAAUAAGGCCCAAUACCAAGAUAAAGUAAGUCAGCUGCAAUUCUUUACGAGAGAGGUGAUUCUUCUGCGCUCAAAUCUUGGCCGGCUCUGCUUGUUAGAUAGAAGAGAGAAAUCUUAUAUGCUUGACCUUGACGGCGCUGCAAUCAAGUGAAAUUAUUUAUUGACUUUCUAUUUGUGCAAAAAAGAUGAAAUUAGAUAGUGGAGUUUGCCAGAGCAAGAACCAGAAAAAUAGCAAGCGGGUAAUCUUCACUGACAAAGAAAAGAAGCAAGUAUUGUAUAGAAGCGGGGUAAUCAGUCAGAGUAAGAGAUGGAUUCCAUUCAGAAUUAGGACAGUACUUGUCCAGGCCCAACAGAAGAAUAAGUGGAAAGAAGCGAGCCCUACCCUAGUAAAGAAGCUGGAUCCAAAGCUAUAGAUAGAUCUGUUGCCGAAGCCUAAAGCUGUAGAAAGAUCAGUUGCCGAAGCCGAAUCUCCUAAUUGUGUUUUUGUUCGCCUACGCCUAGUUCGAGGUAAGGAGUAGAGAUCAAUUGACUCCGCCCAAGAAACUAGUCCAGUGCUCUAGAUAUUUCAUUGAAUUAUGAACUUCCACUUCAAGGAUAGGCGAGGUCGGCGAAAGAAGAAGUGGUUUCCAGAUCUUAUGCAGGUAAAGAAUCGGGAAAGUAUCCAACAUCCGUUAUUGGCUACGCUGUGCUAGUUUAAGUUUAGUAUAUACUAUAAUAUGGUAAAGAAUUCUUAAGAAAAUACAGGUGGCGUUGAAGCGAGAAGAGGAGUUGUAGUUUCAGUCUCAUAAGGCUUUAGCGCGUAUUAGUUGACUCGGGUGCGGUUCGAAAGUAAGCCGAUUCUCAAAGUAGAGUUUCAGUAUGAGGGUAAUAAGCAGAAGAUAAGAAUGAGCUAGGCAUGAAAGAAAGAAAAAGGUCACACUUAAUACCCGCCCUGAUCUUGCUUGCUUAACCUAGCCACUAGCUUCACCUUUGUUCACCUCUUACUUAACUAAAUCCUUAGCUUUAUCCAUCUGCCACUGUGUUCAUAUUAGUUCCAGUUUACUAGUAGAAAUAUAUGUUGAAGGACAUCAACGGUGAUAAAGCCAGUUGGGUACCCGGGGUCUCGAAGGUCACUUUGACACUUUCCUUUCCUUUCCGGGCAAAGCACCAAAAUGUUCAAGUGCAAUCCAAGUCUCUUAAGACGAAACCUGAUGAAGCAGCUGACGCUUACUGAAUCAACCGCUGAAGAGAAGCAACAUAAGGUUUUUCUCAGUCAUUAACUUUGGAUUGGAUUCGCUCACAACCUUUGAAAAGGUGCGUGCUUCCACCACCGAAAAGGAAUUCCGCCUCUACAAUGCUCCAACGACUCAAAGUAAUCAACUUUCUCCAACUAUUUGGCAUAUGAGAGAGAAGCGGGAGCGAAGUGAGGGGAGUAGAACUGAGUGAGGCAGAGAGAAGUGAGGGGAAGCAAGAUCCGGGAGGCGCUGGGAUGGGAGGUGAAGACACACUAAAGGCUAAAGGAGGCGAACGAUGGGAGGCAGUUAAUGAGGGAAAGAAUCAAACAACAUAUGAGAUAAGUAAGAAUACAGAGUGCCUUUUCUUCCUUUCAAAGAGAGCACCAAUGGUGUGCUAUGCUCAUACGGAGCGUGUGGCCUUCCUUCGAUGCAGAUAUAGUCCAAGACACAUUGGCGAUCCGCGAGGCCGAACUACCUGAUGGAACGCAGGCCACCACAAAAGUGCAACUAAUCAAACAGUGAAUAUAAGACCUAUGACACCGCGUUUUCACGGUUUAUCCUUAAGAGAUGAGGACUACUUACUUUACUGGUGAGAAUUUGGAAGUCAAGAAUAUGAGUCCUAACCACUCACCUGUUUAUCCCGACUUUGCUUUCGCUCCCUUUUCUACACAAUCUCUUGCUGUCUUUUCUCAGAGAACGGGUUUUUCGACUUUGUUUCUCCGAUGAGUUUCUAGUCUGUCUUAUGUUUAGUGUUUUCUUUCAUGUGAUACUUUGCCUUACGAACUAGGGCUGAGCCCGUUCCUCAAGCUUAAGAGCAACGAGAAUACAGCUUUUUCAAGGCACGGCACUCCACUCUGAAACCGGCAAGUUUUUCCUUCCUUAUCCUUAUAAGUGUUGUGUUCGGCCUAUUGAUUGACACUGGCACGACUGGAAUAAUAGUCAAACUCUGGUUUCACCCUAUAGGCAGUUUAGGUUCGACGCUUUGAUCCCGGCCGUGGAAGGUCCCAUGGUAUGAGGAUCGGACGGGGAAGUCGGAGGGAGGUCGGUCUCUCGACCCCGCUUUCGUGUCCUGAGUAAUGAAAUCAAGUUUCUGAUUGGAUAUUGGUUAGAAGUCUGAUUGAUUUAUAGGACUAUUCAUAUGUGGAGUAGUGAGCCGAUCCCGCUUUUCUUGGUUAUAAGUCUUUAACCCCUUAGCACUUACCUUCCCAAACAACCCUAGCAGCCUAUCCCUUUAUCAUUCGAAACAGGAGAUUCCCUUGACUUUAAGGGAGGUAUUUCUCUAUAAGGAAGGCCAUUCUUUCUCCCGAUCUCCUACGUAUGGUAUUGGGGCGGGCAAGUUGAGCCUUUCUUCUCUUAAGGGUAAGGAGCUAUGUACCAGUGCCUUCCCGUAAUUGAUGGAGGCUUACGAAGGAAGGAACCAACAGAGGGAGGACGUUGAGUAGAUUACCAAUUACAUCCUAAGAGAGAGAACAAUUGAACAAAGCCUUAGAAGAAGAUCCAAAAAACCCAUCCAUCCUACGCUCUUUCCGGCAAAUGUGCUGCCCCACCUUUCCCUCACUAGAUUCCUUUCUUUGAUUGACCAUUACCGUUGAAUAAAUCCUUUGACUUCUACCAGGAUGCAAAAUGGCUGCAAGUGGAUCUUCAAUUCAAAAGCUAAGAGGUUUCGUUGAAGACUUAUUGUGGGGCACCACCUCUACUCUCCCCUACCUAAAGAGGCCGAUAGGCAGCAUUCACUAACGUAAGGCCUGCGCUAAUUGGCAAAAGUCAGACUUCAUAACUAUAAGAUUCAGAAAAGACCCGCCACGCACGGCAUUUAUUUAGGCCUAUACUGCCAACUGGAAUUUCUAUAAAUAAAUGAAGUAGAUCCGCUAACUUAGAGAAAUGAAAGUGAGAUGAAUGAAGACCUUUUUGAUUAUCCUUUAUUAUUAGGAAGAAAGGCCAAUGCCCCAACCCAAGAGACUCCCGGAUACUAAGAACCUAGCCCGAGAAAAGCAUCUUGAUUUCUAAGAAUCGUGAGAAAAGACAUGUCCCAAUAGACCCUACAACUUCGAUUGGUUGAAAGUGAAAAAACGAAGUAAGGCACUCGAGGAACCCUUUCAAAUCAAAGGUCAGAAGCCUAAAAACGUUGUAGGUUGAUUGGCCAGCAUUGGCAUUAGCUUCGGGAUUGAACUUACACUUCCGGGUGAAUUGACAAAAUCGAAACCCAAGUAGAAGGAACUUUAGGGGACCCAUCCUCUAGGAGUUUCUCGAGUCUCCGCCACCAACACCAAGAAGCGGAAUUAAUCCGGGUGCUGCCCUCACACUCAAUCUCCAUACAUUGCUGUCGGUAUGGUAGAAUAUAAGAAGCGACACACAGCCCAUUCUCACUUUAAUAGAAGCUUAGUCUCUUGCGAUUCCGCUUAUUUUUGAAGAAGACGAUUUCCCACCAUAUGAAGAAUGUCCGACAGUGAAUACUUGGCCCAAAUUGACUAUAUGGCGUGAGUUUGAAGAUGAUUUGAAGCUUCUUAUUGACAGCGAAAGCCUUCUUAGUUGCGGCGAACCAAACACAUCUCCUCGCUGAGGGAAGGACAGAUAUCGCAAAAAGACAAGAUACUCUUUCAAAAGUCCUACUAAAAUAGACUCGACUACUAAUAUGUUCAAAGUAUCAAAAUAGACUCGACUACUCAAGCUGCUUUAUUGUUUCCCCAUCCUGGCAUGCUAUCCUUUAUGUUCAUUUUCGUAUUAAAGUAAUAUGUUUAAGUAUGAAGGGGCUGCUCUACAAAAGGGUCAAAGAGGUCUUUGGGAAUUGGCAUUAUAAGUUCAUUGCAAGGGUCAUAGCAUGGGUUCACCUAUUGUAGUGGUUCUUUCGGCACUUCCAGUCAGGGCCUGUUCACCAUUCCAAGCAAGCCACACAUCCGCUCAUUAACAAUUGGUAUACGUUCUCUAUCUUACGGGUGUAUUAGAAUCAAUUUGUUCCGUAAGGGCUCUAUUCUCUGUUCGUUACAUUGGCAAGGGCAUUCCGUUUUCCUCUUGCUCUCCGCUCUGUGGGCUUGAACUUGGCUCAGUCCAGUACACAUCAUAACAAAGCAGAACCUCCGUAUCAAUAGAAGGAACAAAGGCAGUUCCAUAUCGAAAUCGAUAGCCGGGGAAGGGUACGAUAAGUAAUCAUAUAUAGGACCAUGCCCAGCAGCAUCACCCAACGUCGAAGAAGAAGUGAAGUGACUCCUAGCUCGAUGCCAAGUUUGACUAUCGUCUCUGGUAAUAUGCAUAGGUAAUGAGUGAAAGCACUCAAUCUAGGCCAUGAUAAAGCAGGCGCAAUCUACCAACCAAGUAGACCCACGGAGCGGUAGUAUUGGGACGAAGAAAUCCCAUGUCCGUGUAAACAACCCUUAGUGAACCGAUAGGUGGGAGCAGAGCAACCUUGGAUCGUUAAGCUCUAGAUAAUGAUAAACGAGAGUAGUUAAGGAGUGUGGAGCUUCGGGCUCAGGGAGCACCUGGUGCUUGUUUAUUAAAGAUGAAUCGGACAAGCAAGGGAAGUCAAAGCAGAAGAUAGAUCAGAUGAUCUUUCAGCGGUCCCCGGCCGUAAGUAUCAUGUCCCCGCGUCUCAGCAUCUAGAAUAAUAGAUAGUCAUCCGUUUUACUUGAUAGCGAGACUAAGAGGAUUCCCGCCUGGAACAAAGUAGCUCUGCCCGGGGCCGAUCGAAUCCUAUUUAUAUCUUAAUGUUCUGAGUGCUGCACCUCUGCAUCGAAUUCACUCGAUAGCGACUCAGUGGAAGGCCCGAUCGUGGCAACUUGGCAGCUCCUCGGGUGCAAAUUGCCUAGUGUCUUGUCGUCUUGUCUACUUGGCCCAUAAGUUGGAAAGUGUGAAGUAAACCCUAAACUAAGUAAAGUCAACCCGAAACUCAGAAUGAAAUUGAAGUCGACGCAUUAAGGUUCAGGCUUCAGCAACAAGACCUUUUCACUCGAUGAAAGGGUACUGGAAGGAAGCACUUCGUGUUCAAGUUGCUCUUUUCGUACACUCAUAAAAGAAUUCAAACCAGAUUGCUCACGCCAGUGGAAUUACCGUUCCAACGAACCCUGAAGAGUUUCUCAAUUCAGAAAAGACCUUUCAAUCAACAGCUGGAAUUAAUGCUGCCCUGGGUAGUAGGUCGGGUGUCAAGCCUUCAAAAGUAUGCUAGAUAGAACAGGAGCUUCCUUCUUUGAGCGGUUCUCGGGUUUGGUAGGAAUCACAGGAAAUAGCUAUAGAAAACACUAACGAUAAAAGCGUGAAGAGAAUAGCAUGAUGAGUUGACUAUUCCAUUUCGGCAUCCCUUGACUUGCACCGAGCUAUGUUGUUCAAGGGUUGUGGUUAUGGUAAGUACUUACUAUUUUAGACUACUUUAUUUAAGAUUCAUAUGCUUAUUUUAGACUACUUUAUUUAAGAUUCAUAUGCUUUCGUAGUCAGAGGGUAAAGGCAGAAAAGUCGCAGACCAAAUCAAUCCGAGCCCCCACGGUUAUGCAGAGCAACCCUAUUAUUGUGCUACAACUGCACAAGCAUUCAAUCAUAAGGACUUGCGACACAUUCCAAGACUCAGAUACCUAAACAAUGUUACGGACUAAGCAAAGAUAGGAAGAAAGUGAGACGAUUCCAAUUCCUUUGAGUAUAGAAAUGGACCUUAUACCCCAAAUAAAGCGAUAGGAAAAGUGCUCUUUCUCUCUCUUUUCUAUUUUCUCUUGACGUAGGGGCAGUCAGGUUGUCUGCUUUAUUGCCCCUGGAAGUGGAAUGUCUUGCGGGUCAUCUUGCAUCUUACAAGUAGAUUGAAUCUAUGCCUACUCCUACGGAUAAACGGAAUCCGUGUUUCACUUGGCUUGAAUCGUCUUUCCUUUCCAAGGCAAUUGAAUGGGCUUUCGAAUCUCCUGUUAGUAAAUUCCCACUCGAAACCUUUAGAAUAGUUGGUGUCCCGCAAAUGGAGAAGGAGGCCUAUCGAAGGAACUUUACUAGGUUAAGGUAGGUUCCGUGCCCCCACUGUAAUGAAGAAUAAGGAGUUCUUAGACUAGCUCUGGCUUUAUGACUGCUUUCCUUAAUAGCCAAUCCCGUGCCCAACUCUUGGGUAGAAGCUAACCCCCAUCGCGAUUUUGGAACUAACACAACAUCCUUAAUCGAAUGGCGCCACUGAGGAAAGCAAUACCAAUAGCAACAAGCGUAUGGAAACCUCUUGCGGAAACGGUAAGGGUUCAACGUGGCUUACUCUAUCUAUGCGUGGGAACCCAUUAGGUUACAAAUUGGCACUUUCUUUUUGACCAUGCCAAUGACGCGACAUACGGGGGAGGUUAUUUGGCAACAGAGAUGUGCCUCAUCUCACUAAAGGGUAGAGGAGAGAUAGAAUGAUUCAAUGUGUCCAGAGAGUCCGAACUUUACAGGAGGAGUAAAAACAUUCCUUCAAGCUUCGUCAGGCAAGUAACGUUCUAGUAUCCGUGAUAAUAGGUGUGUCUAGCCUUAACUCUCAAGCUAGUGAAGAAGUAAUCUUAUACGAAGCCAGAAUUCUCUGUUAUCGCUAUUUGCUAAUCAUAGGCUCUUCUUCUAAUCAUAGGCUCUUCCUUCCUCUUUAUCGAAUCAACCGUAUAGCUAGGAUUGUAAAGAAAGAAAGAGGGGGAAUUGCCACUAGGUGGGAGAAGAGAAUAGGCUCGCUUUAGACGGUCUUGGCUGUAGGUUGCUAGAAUGCCUUGUUAAAGAAUCCAAUGUGCCACUUGAAGAAUAGAAUCCACUCUUUUAGGCCCCAACGCUCUUUUCCGGUGCAGCUGAAUGCCCUUAAUCAUAAGCAAGUCUGGGGGGCUCGGCUCUUGCUAUUGCUUUCUAUGCGUUGUUUGCAAUUCAAUCAGUAAUCGCUACCUAUUUGCCGUGCUAGUGUUUUAUGUUCUCGUUUACCUUGUUCUACUAUCAUCUUCGGCAUAACCUCUAUUGCCUACUACAAACUACAAAGAGCUCAGUCCUAUUCAUUUCUUAAGGCAUUUUCCCACUAUAAAGAAAAGAGACAAGGGCCUUUCGUCAGCCUACGAUCUCUAUUGAAGAAGACAAUGGGUUAGACUGCUUAAGCAAGAGCGAAAUUAGUUGGAGAGGAAAGGAAGCAGCUAUCUUGUAUCUAGGAAGAAAGAUCCGCCAUUCGGUCUACCCCGAGAUCGAUAGAAUGGAAAGGUUACCAGCCCAGUAAGAAGGAAAGGCAAGCAGGGCAGAAGGAAAGGAAGGACCCUAUAAAGCAACUCCAUAGGGAUCCUAAAACUAUGCCUAAUCGAAGGAACAUUGUUCUAUUUUUGUAGGACUACUAAAUGGGUCGAGGCCAUAUUCCCAUGAAGUAAGUGGAUAAGAAGGAUAUUGUAGAAAUGAUCAAAACACAUAUUGUCCAUCGGUUCGGCCGAGACGAGACCGUCGUAGCUGACAAGACCAGGAGACAGUGUUUACCGGGGGGCAGGGGAAUAGAGUGGGUGAAGAGAAAAGUCAGUUCCGUAGAACCUUAUAAUAGAAUGCCGAAACUAUCCUUGCAGCUUACUCUCCUCAAGUCAUUUCAUAUCUCUCUUUUAUCAUAUAGAAAUAUGGAAUGUAAUCAAGCAGAAACUCCGUAAGCUGAUGACGGGAUAGCUCCAAUAACUCCUUAUAAUAAUACGGAAUGGAAUCUAUCAAGUGCAGAAUCUAAAGCUCCGUUAGCGUAAGUAAAAGAAUUCAUUGAAUCCAUCGAGCAAGCCCCCAACUGAAUCAUGCACAAGCACCUGCACCAGUAUCUCCUUACUCAACACUUCUCUUGCUGAACCGACAAGACAAGGAUCAGAAGAGAGAAGAUAUGGCAGAGUGGGCUAUCUGAGAACUCCCUUACAUAGACCAUACUUAGUAUACUACUUUAGCGUUGUUUCACAUAGGGUUAACUCCUUGUAUGUAGAAUUCCCUAUGAAGCCUAUGUCACAGCAGUUCUAGUGCAUUGACGCCUAAGAAAAAGGACGUGGCGUGGGCAUGAGAAAAGUGUUGUUCCUGUCAGUUAAAGAUAAGAUUCUUGUUCCUGUUCUACUUAACUCGUAAACUCCAAUAAGCUAAGGCGCAAGGGUUCCGCUCACUUUCUACUUCAGAUAUAUAGAGGAGAGUCAAAAAGCACCUAUUCUGACUUAUGAAGCGCAAAGGUACUUAUAUAGAGAAUUUGCAGAUAAGAGAAGUAACACAUUGUAUUAUGGCUCUUUAGGAUAGUCUCUUUGCCAGCGGAGAUGAUUUCGUUUUUCCGACCUAUACUUGAAGUUCAGAACUGGCGUUAUAAGUAAGGGCAACAGGAACAGACCCGUCUUUGAAACAAUUCCCUUACGCGCAACUCAAUCAAAGAUUCAUUUAUUGACGGCAAAAUGGUCAUUUAGGAAAGCUGCUCAUCUUGCAGGCCAAUAAUAGUGAAGUGAAACUCCCUUCCCUGACUCACCGGGCGCAACUCAAACAUCAAUUGAUUUAUUUACUGCUGUAGAUUCUUAUACUUAUUCAGAUUUCCCUUAGCCCAGUCGACUCGAAUGUGAGUGAGUGUCCUUCAGUUCUUGUUAAGUCAAGGUCGAAAGCAUAAAGGAGUGUUUGUUUUGUAUAGAAUGGAUUUGAUUAAUCCUCUCUCCCUGAAAGAAGUAAGGCUAUUGUGGAGAUUGCCAAGAUUGAACUAGCCCACGGAGCUAGAAGGUUGAAGGCUCAAUCAGGGCGCGGCUGGACGGAGGAUAUCCCGAUUAUGAUCCCUAUGGAGGCUUGUAUCGAAUCUAUAUCUCCGACUUACUUCAGUGUCAGAGGAUGGCGCUAGUCUUCGCUAAGGAAGUAUUAUGGUGCUAUCUAUAAGUGUAUUAUGGUGCUUUUCUAAUCGAAUCUAGUUUAUGGGGUGCCAUCUAAUCUCAUCUAGUUUAUGGUCCGCCUAUUGCACUAGCCCACCUAUAGCCCUUUUAUCUGAAACAAAAGUCUCUGAUUCCCGUGGAGGAUAAAGAAGAAAGCUGUCUUGUCUUAUCUUCUCCCCGGCUUAUAUACUAAAUGAUACGUAACCUAAGACGUGAGAAUUGGAGCAAAGAUCCGUUUCCGGUCUUCUUUGGCUACUCGGGUCGUGCCUCCCUUUAGAGCAAGUUGUCACAUGUCGCUUUCCUCCCUUCGAUCCUUUAAUUGAAACCUUUCUUUGACUUCCUCCUCUUCUCGGCAGUAAACUCACUAAAUAGAAGGCACCACGCAUUAACUAUGACUUUUGAUAGGGGCUUCUAACGAUUCACUAUUACUUUGUUUUAUAAGGGCUUGGCUUCUAACGGAUUAACUAAUUAUAGGGGCUUCUCAAAAGAUCAAGGUUGUGCUUUCUUUAGAAGAAGGCUUUUGGUCCUUUGCUUUGAAGCUGUCGUCCGCGUCCGUUCUAUCUGGUCUAUAAGACGAAAUCGCAUUGCUGUUCCCCCCAUUUCGAGGGCAAGGUUCACCCCUUUAUACUAGUGGAGCACUACUACUCUCAAUCCAUAGAAGUGUUUUGACGGCGGAACGAGGGAAAAGAUAUAUUGAUGAGAAAAGAAAAGAUGCAUUAUACACUAAAUGAAAAAAGAACCAUAUUGAGCCCCAUGCAUCAUGCUUCAAAGAAUUCUUAAGCUCAGCUGGCGGAUCCAACCACUAAUUAGAACAACCCAAGCGAAAUUGACCAGCUUGUAAGCAAUAAUAUUACCCUUAUGAAGAACAUGGCUAAUGUGAAAGAAAGUCCCCAUCAUCUUAUUAAGAAAGUGUGUUAUUCCAUAAAAGGUGUAAUUGCCACGCACGGAGGGAGGGAGUCUAGUUUCCAGGGGUCAAGAUUGAACAGCAGCCGAGGAAUCACUUUCAAUCCAAAUCUUCGGACAAUUAAAAGAAUGAGACAUUGAGAAAAGAAAAGGUAUUCAGAAUGCCCAUAUAUUCUGCAAAGAAAGAAGUGCGAUGUCCGCAUACUACAACCACCCCUAAAGAGACCAGACCUUCACUUCACAAUUACGAAAAACUCCAAGCUGCGAAGCCUGGCAAACUCACCUAAACCUUCCCAGAAAGAGAGCAAGCUUCCAAGAUACUGUCAUCAUCUUCCGGGCUGACCUAAGCCAAUUUAUAGCAUGAGACAUCAAUUGAUUCAGGAGCCAAGUAGGCCACUUGUACACCGAUAAAGCUCUGCUGGAAGAUUGCCUCGAAAACUGUCUGAACAAGUUGAACACGCCUCCGACAGAAAUUGACUGCUAACUCAUCUUUGUCAGCAAGACUCUGUAUCAAAAGACGGAUAUUCUAGGACUACCUUUGCCACUCGGGACUUAAAAGAGAAGUCAAAGGGGGCCAAGUAACUGCUACAAACACAAAGAAGGGAAGGAGCAAUUCCGGUGUGAGUUCGGUGCCCAGAGCGAGUCAAGUAUUUCUAGUGGUAGGAGUCCUGUUUCUAGCGUCAGUGAGUUACCCAGCUUUAAUAGAAGUGCAAGUCACAACUACGUAUAGGGGUGAGUUCAAAGAGCAUUAAGUCGAGGUCGGUUCAUCAAUUAUCUUUCUGAUAUUAGAUAGAAGAAAAGUGGUCGCCAAGUCACUACUAGAUUAGAGAGUAAGUAAAGCAAGGCUAGAAGCAAGGUGUGGCAUACUUUGAUGAGUAUUUUCAGAAUCAAGAUAGUCAAGUAGACCUUAGAGGCAGUGAGGACAGGCUCCUAGUUUUGAGUUUCAUUAUUUUCAGUAGUAGUGAAAUUACUGUUAGUAUAUUAGUGACAGGUUGAAAGCAAGACUCCUUAGGAACAGGUAUAAGUUGGUGCCCAGCAAAGUGAGGCUCAUAGUAAUUAGUUAAGGAGUAUAAGAUAGUCACGUAAGCCUAAGUUCUAUAGGGGCAAUUCGGAUUGAUUGUAUUAGUGGUAUUCUGACUUCAUUGAUUGGAUUCCCAGUAGUACCAGUUAAGCCCUUGGUAGUGCUAGCAUUAUUCUGAGUGGCAGGCGGACUUCCGUGUUUAGGUCAACAGCUUUAGGUACUCUACUUAGGAGUUUCAAUUCACACUUGCCCCAUAUAAAGAGAAUAGUUUCAAAUGAGCUCUAACAGCACUUAUGUUGGUUUGAUAUCCCCAUCAUGUAAUAAACCCAAUAGGGCUUAUAAUGCAUUGCAAGCCCAUACUUUCUUAAUACUGGGAAAGAGGAUACAGAGCGCAACUAACAAUAUGGAAUAAGGAAUGGGUUAAACAAUACAGAGAAUGGAAGCCAUGAAAGUCAGAUUACAAGCAGUGGGCGCGGGUACAGAUUUAGUAUGAUUGGUUCUAUUCUUUAUUAUAAGUAAGGGGAUUCUAGUCGUUGGUUUGAUUCCCUUGUUUUGAGUGAGAUCUAGCCUCUAGUAGUUGAUUCUGCCAUUAGUAGUUAUUCCAAUAGUGAUAUUUGAUAGUUAGGAAGGUAAGACUAGGGGCCAGGGGAUGUAGUCUAAGAUAUAGUAGAGCGAAGAUCCGAUCAGUAUUCAUAGAGUGCAGGUAAAGAAAGGCAGGCUCAAGCAGGGGAAUAGAAGCUAUGGUAUAGCAAAGUAGGGUUCGAGGCCAACAGCGAAAGAAGUCAAGAGUCCCCCCGACAGUAAGUCUGAUCUAAAGCAGAGUAGCAGCCUAAACCGUAUAAGCAAGGUCGUAAUAAGCACUUGAAGAGUUUGAGUUGAACUACAGAAUGAUAGCUAGGAAAGGCAGCUUUGGUGACAGCAGUGAAAUAGUUUUCUAUAGGAUCAAUUAUUGUUAUCAUUAUGCAGGCAGUUCUCUACUCUAGUGGGGCGCGUGCCGAGCCUUGGUAUCGGUGUUUUCCCUCUCAUCGGUAAUUGGUUCAAAGUCCUAUCAGCAGUGGAGUUGGGAAUGCAAUACAGGUACCGGAGUUAGGGCAGUGCCAGUUGGAAAGCAAGAGAUACCGAUGUAGACUAAGUAUUGGUAGGCCGAUAGACAGGAAAGUCAUACUUUAAGACGGGAGCGUCAGAGACAAACUCGAUUUCGGGGUCCGCUGUUUCUGUUUGAAAGUCAGGAUCUAGACCCGUAGCUACAGAGUUCAGGGCAGGCUCAAAAGCUUACAUAUCACUACCAAACAAGUAAGGCUUCCACUGCAGGAUUGAGUUCUUGUAUCGUAUUUUCAUUAUGAGAUAUAUGACUACUAUUCUCAGAACUGGUGUUUAUUCGUGAGUUGUGUUUGGGAGCGAAAGCCUUAGAAGCGAUAGUGAAAGCCUAAGUUUCGAGGCUUUCAGCACCUAUAGUGAGUAGUCAAAGCCUUCUAUAUGGUGUAACAUUCUCAUAGUUUGAGUCGCAUUCCUAUGAGUUUAAGCGGUUGUUGGGCACUGUUCCAUUCUUUCUAGGCACUAUUUCUGUCUUAUACGCUGUAGUGGAAUUCUCCUGUUUCUCUCCAAUGACUCAUUCUUUAUUUCCAUUAUGGGGCUUCUAGGUGUUUAGAGCCGGUAACGUAGUGGAGACCAGUAUUCUUACUCUCAUUCUGACUUAUGUCUUGAAUCCUUAUAUCCUCUUAAUUCUGACUUAUGUCUUGAAUCCUUAUAUCCUAUACUGGAAUUCUGCUUUUAUGGGGUGAAUUCUUACAUUAAUGAGUUGCUUUCUACCCCUGUGUGUUAGGUUAGCACAUCCUGUUACUAAUAAGUUAAAGGACCAUUUCUUCUUAUCCAGCUGUAGAUCUCGUUGUUGCCAUUUCCAUUACUAAUGACUCUACUAUCUUAUAUUAGCAUAUUCUACUAUCUUAUAUUAGCAUGUAUAUUAGCAUGUGUGUUUUCAUAUGAUAUUUGCUAUUAACUAGUACUGUACUACCGAUCCAAAGGAAUAAAUCUACUGAUAAUAAGAAGGAAGGGAGCGAAAGAGUGGAGAGCAAAGGGACAAAGACUUAGAGAUAUGAAAGAUAGGUGAAGAUCCAUGAGUUUGGGAAUCAAAGGUGGGCAAUGCAUACUUAACGGUAUGAGUGACAGGCCAGGUAGCAUUAGUUCAAUCUCUCAUUGUUCGUAAAAGAAUGAGAGAAGCGCCAGGACAAGCCUGUUUGCCAUCAGUUCGGUUCUCUUAUUCCCUUAUAGUUAAGCCCUUGUUUGAUUGAUUCUGUUUCUUUGAUUUGACUAUUCAAGGCCGUGGUUUCAAUGAGUUCUCUUAUUAGUGGUAGCGCUAUUCUUUAGCUAACACCCUGUUGCUUGUUUCAACCUGAUAAGGAGUAGCUGGAUUACAAGUUUCCUAUUUCAUGACUAAAAGCUGCAGUAGCAGGCUCGUGGGUGGGAGUCAAAGUCUCAUACGCCUUAGUUCCACUCUGAUAGUAAGUAGUAGCAGGAUCCGUUGCCGAAGCCGAGGAGAAUGCCUGCGUGUUGUAGACGAGAGCUUUGCUUGCUUCAUUUGAAAAGGGUAAACGAGUGAGUAGUGGUGCGAGCUUGCUUGAGCAGAGUCUCUUUCUGCUCUUGUGGAAUUUGGAUGUGUUUUCCUCUGCGCUACAACUUAUUGGAUUGGAGUUCGGUAUGCGCUAACGAGAGUUAUCUCUUAUCUUCUGUUUCUGCAUUUGAAUCGAAAGAUGAAAUAAAGGAUUAAGACAGUGGAGUUUAGUAUCGUAUGAGUUUAGUAUCAUAUAGCAAAAGGGUAAUUAGGGAAUCAGAGGUGUUGCGGUGAACAAGUAAGCGAGUUAUAUCAUCGGCAUUAGGAGCUUUGCAAGCCAUUACAUUAUUAGUGAAUUAGCCGUUGCGCAAGGGCGAUUACAGCGCCUAAUAUGUUUGGCUACGAGAGAUAAAGGUGAAAGUGUUGAAUCUUCUAAAUCAGGUAUUGCAGGAAGAAGCGCUUGAGUCUAAAGUUGAGUCGACGAAGAUCAUAUAAGUCCCCUUCUGUUAUAGGUCCAGUAUAAAGUAGAGUUUCGGGUUCAAGUAAGAAUCUAGUUCCAUUAUUGGGAUUAAUAGUCCAUUCAUUUCUGUAUUUCUAGAUUGAUUCUUGGACGUAGUGGUUCAAUUCCUCUUAUUAUAGGAUGAAGUAUUGAGUUCAGUAAAGCAAAGAUCCGGGGACUGGAUCGGUAGCUAUAGACUGAAGCAAGGGUAUUAGGAGUAGCGGAGUGGAAUUCCAGUCGAGUGGAUAGUAAUACCUAUAUGUAGGGAAGGCGGUGAGGAUAGUCAGACCUAUUGCCGGUAAAGGUAAGGCUGAUGGACCGGAGUAGAGGAAUCAGAGACAGUGGAGGCAGGCUAACAACUAUGCUAGUAAGCUAAACUGGAGCAUAGGUAUCUAAGGUAAGGAGCCCGGGACUGAGAGGCGCGAAAGGCACGAUUCAGGCUUGGCACCGAUGUUAACUAAUAAGGCUUGGAUCUAUGUGGACUAAUAAGGCUAUUUUCCUCUGUCGUUUAGCUUGGUUUACUAGGUUUAGUUAAUAGAGUCGUGUUUUGUUCUUACUUAAUGGAUUUUCUUCUUUAACGGAAGCAGUUUAGUAAUGAAAGACAUGAUGUACAACCUAAUAGGUAAGGGGGACUUUCUAGGCGGAAAUAAAGUAAGGGCUGGCUAAUAGACAGGUCGCAGCUGGCAGUUUUCAAGUAAGUAGUGGUAGCGUAGUAGGUCUACACCCAAAGAAUACAAGGUAGUAGUGUCAGUUGGAAGCUAGCACAUAAGAAGAAAAGUCAGUAGCGGAAGGCUCAGUUCCGCGGGCAACAUCUUCGUUUUUGGUUAGCGCAUCGGCCUUGCCCCGUACCAGUGCAUUUCUUAUUGACAGCGUUUUCAUCCUAAUGGUUCACAGUUGAGCUCCCUGUUCCGAGUGCAAUCUUUAUUGGUAUGGAUUUGCUCCUUGCUAGUUAUUCCUAGACUAGCUGCUCAUUCCUAUACUAAUUAGUUCCGCUCUGACUCAUAACCCCAGAUCCCCAUUCUAAUACUAACGAGUAUAAUUCCUAGGUGGAGGUUCGAUUCCUAUACCCUUGCUCGCAUUCCCGAUACCCCCAUUGACCCAUUCCACUCACCAUCCUUAGUAUACUGACCCUUUAGCUUGAAAGAAAGGAACGAAAACAGGUGGACGAACAAAGGUGGCCGCCUUUCUAAGUUGCUUGGCGCUUAGUUGCUUGGCUGUUGAAGUCUGAUACUGCUUAGGUGCAUUCCUGUUGUUACUGCUUGAAGUCUAUGUCUGCCGUUGCUUGGCCCAUUCUUGGAGGUACUCGUAUAGGUUUAGCGCAAGUGAAGUAAGACUAGAAGCCUGUAGAUAUAGAAUGAGACAGAAGGAAGUAAGCCCGAGAGCCGGGUUAGAUCAGUUGUUAAGUGAAAGCCCUAGUUUCCAGUGGGAGUUUUUGAGAUAGUAGCUACAUUCCCAGCUGUGAGCUACAGUUAUGUUGGCAUUAGUUCCAAUCCAAUACUGACUACCUGUAUUCUGUAUUCUUGUAUUGAUUCUAAGGUCCGACUCUUGUUGAUAUUGUUUUGAUUACUAGAUAGAGAUGACCUCUGUUUCCGCACUAAAUAUAUGAUAAAUGAAUGAUGAAUACAGUCGCUUCACUAUGAUGAAUACAGUAGCUUCACUUCUAGGAUAGAUCGAGUCGGGUGCGAGUCUAGGUUAAGCGGUUUCUUCUGAACUUCUGUGGCAACAGUUCUAUUCUUAGGCUACACCUCAAGUACGUCCCUUAGGCUACAUCUCCUGCACCAACAUUUGCAUUUUCUCUUUCUCUACACACAUUUGCUCUUUAUCUAUCUAUUCAAAAGGUGUGUUUAGUUCCAGAACUCCUAUUCUAACUGCCCGGUCGAUAAGGCUUCCCUGACUUUCUUAGCCCUUACCACUCCUUUGAUUCUUUAACGCUGGAAGAUGAUCCUUACUUACUUGUUUGAGAAUCCAACCACUGGUGCCGAGACCUUCACUGCUUACUUGCAUCCUUGCUUCCACUGAUCAGUAUACCAAUACGGAACUACAAUACCCAUAGUAGGAAUAAGGACGGAAAUCCCCGCCUCCAAGGCUAAAACAACAAGAGAAAGUGAAUCCAGCCAAACUCAUAACGCAGCUAACAAGGAUAUAGCUCAUAACAAGGAAUCCACCAAAAGAACAUAAGACUGAAAACGCUGCUACCGAGGCUUCAACAAGUACUACCAAUACAGCAACUUUCAAUACUGGAUACUAAGCAUGGGUACGUUGUAGCGCAUCUCAGAUAAUCAAAUGUAGGUCUGAUCUAGUGCAUUAAGAGACGGAGUAAAAACGUAGCUAACAAUAAUCAAAUAAGCAACUCGUAAUUCCACUCAUUAGUAUAGGCAUGAACCAAGCAACUGGGGCUUUUGCUACCAUUUACUGACGCUACACUCUUUUUGUUCCAGAUAUCCUUAUUUAUGGGCCUUAUACUUUUACAGCGUAGUGAAUUUCUUGCAGUUGUGUUUGUAUUAUUGGUAUGCUUAUCCAGGUAUACUAACUUGCUCGCCAACAAACCCACUAUUCUUAUGAGCCUUAUCCACUUCCAAGCUUAUUAGCCUUAUCCACUUCCAAGCCUAACUGACUAUACCUAUAAGCCUAAUUGAUUCUACUUUGAAUAAUUAUGUUUACUCAACACUAGGUGCGCUGGCCCCGGACACGAUGCACUAUAUUAUUUUUACAAGAUCUUAGGCUUAUAGCUCAUUAUAUCAGAAUGAAACCAAGGGCAGUUAGAGUCGGUGUCAGGAUCCGUAUCAGUAGCUACAGAGUGAGAAACACCUGGGAUAGGGGAAAGUAAUACCGAACCCUGGGAGUUUUGGAAUGAUAACAAGGGUAUUAAGCCUAUUAGUUAUAACAGCAGUUGCGUUUGGUUUGGGAGUGAUUAGUAAUUAGAACUUGAAGAUGUGCUCGUACUUCAGAUGUUUUCGUGUUACGUGUCAGUCCGGCUCGUAGGCCCAAGCCCCUUAUUACUGUGUUCGUGUCUGCCCAAGCCCAACUCUUGACUCUCUAGAGCCCGCUCCUCCAUGUGAGUCUACAUUGUCACUCGAACUUCACCUAACGAAUCAAACUAGUGCUUCACACAAUCAAACUCAGCAGUAUAAGUACGGGUAUGGUGUAGUGCAUCUAGUAAAAACAAUAGUCAUACUACUCAUAUAGGAAUAAGAAUAUGGAUUACCGAGUAGUCGAAUAAACCAACCCUUAACCAAGGAAUGAAACCAAUAAGUAGAAGCCUGCGAAAAAUGCACUAAUGAAUUUCACUUGGUUUACUGGGAAUCGGCGCAAGGAAAGCAAGAAUACAAAUACCAGUCUCAAUAAUGGAUAACUAAAUAGGGCAUUGAAGAAAGGGAUCGAAUUAAAGCAUGGGCGCUAGAGAACUGCACUUAUCGGUAAGUGAGAGAACUAGGCGGAUAGUUGAGCUAAAGAAAGCCAGUAAGCAGAGCAGGAUACUCAACCUAAACCUAACAAGUAAGAAUCGAGCCAGCAAGUCAAAGAAUAGGAACAGAGCGACUACCUCUAAGCGCGAAGCUGGUAAAUCAGGCUUGCUCUACCACUUUGGAUUCUAAGGCUCUCUCCCUUUUGGUUGGAGCUAAGAGAAAGUAAUGUAAUACAAAGAGAUAGUAGUGGCAGGUCUCUAAGACAGAAGCAGUAGGACAACUAACAAAACUCUUUAUUGGUUUACAAACUUAACUGUAAGAAGAAAGAACAAAAGUAUUGAUUAUAAGGUAUAGCAGGUAUCAUAGCGGAAUCCCUAGUUUCUUGUGUAAGUCUUAUCGGUAUUAGUUGAAUUACAAGUUUCCAGUUCAAAUAUGAGAAGCACUGAUUGAUUUCUUAUAAACAGGAGCUUAAGCCAGUGAAAGCGGCGGGGACUAUGAGAAAGUCAAGGCAUACUUAGAGUUGAGCUAAGUAGUCAAAGGAUACAAAGGCGUAUAUCUAGAGUGAGUGAGUGGAUUGACAGAAUUUAGAGCGAGGAGUUUAUUCCCGUGUUCCUAGUUCCAGUAUUGUCGGCAUCAGUUACAUUCUAAUAAGUAGUAUAAGCUUGGUUGCUAACUUCUGUGUUCCUUUGUUUUAUCUUAUAGGUCUUCUACUUCUUGGUGCGAUGCCAGAACUCACUGACGCCCAAAAGUGAGGAGUCUACAUCUCUUUACAGUGUGUGGGCGUCCGGGAAAGUAGUGGAAAUGACUGGUUGAUCUUUCACUAAAGGGAGUUUACCGGCGAAAGAAAAGAAUGUAUAGUACUAUAACUGUAGAGAGUAAGCUGCAAGCUGUGGUAUUGUAUGGAAACCAGUAAUUAUCGAAUAACUUAUAUGGUAAUUAGGGAAUAACUUAUAUGCUGGGAUGUGUGUUCUCGCAACAGAAUAAGUUGUGCGAGGAAAUGAUGUUAUCAAGUAAAGUGAUUAAUAAUAGGCCUGUACCCAUCUUAGAAUUAUCGGUUUGUUGACCCGCUUGCUGCCCUUAUUGAUACUUAACUAGCUCGGCACUGCUUCUUCUCUCGGAGACAAGAAAGGUCAAAAGCCAAGUAAGUUCCAAUCCAAAUGAUAUGAUGCCGUAGAACAGGCAAUAAGAGUAGUUCGUUUAAGGGCCUGAAAAGAAGGCAAUUCUCCACUGCUAUUGGAGUUGCAGGCGAGGACAUAGGCAAGAGGCACUGUUAUAUACUACCGGGAGUAUACAACUACUUUACGCCAGACUCACUGUUUUCGGGAGUUGGAGCUGUAUAAAGAGCCGACUUCACUCUAUUCUUUUUCUUUCCCUGGUGCAAGAAAACACACAGAACUAAUGGAAUAGAAAUAGAUACUAAUGAGUUCAGUGCUUGUAAAGGAAACUAUACUCGUACCUACCGUACCGAUACUAGUUAACGUUUACUUUCCUGGCCAAACCCAGAGAUUCUCGUAGACUACUUUAGCACCCAACCCAAAGCAAAUAUACUCAUAUGAUCUCUAAGACCUAACUGGCACUGCU
rnacentral:lncRNA from 1 species